GAUCACCUUGACUAGAGAUUCGUUGGUUCCCUUCCCUUGUAUAUCUAAAUAUGAAGCCCUCCAAGUUUGAACAGUUGUAUAUCGUCAUUGACUUCAUAAAUGGAAAUUCAAUAACUUUAUUUUGAGAAUUGAAGCAAAAUCCACGCAAAUGCUGAAGAUCCUUUAGCUCUAAGGACUCUAACUGAGGAAAUAAUGAUAAAGUCAUGGCAACCUGAGUUUCUUCUUCUAUAUCCUCCCAAAAGAUUAUCUCCUCUAAACAGUUGCACUUAGUUACCUCAAAAUAUUUGAGAUGAACUAGAUAUUUAGCCAUAGAAAAUGAUAAUAGGUAAAUUAUGUUUCCACAACCCUCGAUUUUCAAUGUGGUUAACUUCUCAUGAGUGUAAAAAGAUACAUUUGACAACUGGUUCUGCCAUACCCUUGUAACAUUAAGCGAUGAUAACUGCAAUUUCUCCAAGGAAGGGAACGAUAUCUACAACCAUACACAUAAUUAAUUCUACUUUCAAAUCAAUAUUGUAAAUAUAUGUAUAAUUCUAUUUUUGCAAUUAACAAAAAAUAAAGUCUGCCGAUCAAAAAAACGUGUCAUAAAAUAGAAAAUUUCUAGUAAAUAUAAAAUAUGUUGAGAGUAUUGGGGACAGAAGAACCCAUCAUAUGAUCAGAAGAAGGGAAAAAAUCUCACAUAACUAAGCGACAGCGCAAGAGCAAUACGGCAUGAUUCAGAAAAAGGAAAGAAAGCCUUGAAAGAUAUUGAAUUAUAGAUACCUUUUCUCCGAAAAGUGGCAAUUCACGUUGAGGCAAUGAGGUAGCAUCGAUUUUGUCUUGAGAGCAAAAGCUAACGAGUUGAGGAAGACCCUGCAAUGUCAAGGACUGCAAUUCAAGAAAUUCAUUUCUAUCAUUAGUGAUAGAUUCAAUAUCCAAACCAUUUUGGAUAUGCAGAUUCUGCAAAUGUGAUAGCCUUUCCUCAUCUGAUAACUCCUUCAGUGCAAUCUUCACACCUUUCAGUUCAUCCAAUUGUAAAUCUUGAGUUCUCUUUACCAACUUCUUAAUUCCAUGAUCCAAAUCAUCAAAGCUUGUGUUUAGCCUGAGUUUUAAGGUUCUUGAAUAUUGAUAGUUGCCAAACCGCUCCCAUUCCUUUCCUAUGAAAAUCUUGUAUCUUUCCAACUUCUGCAACUUUUGAAAGAAAUCCUCUGGGGCAGCCUCGGCGUUUGGAAUUUGAACUUCUAAAGUGGACAAAUGAGAUAGUGUGUUCAGUUCAGCAAGACUAGCAUUGGGUUGUCCCCAUUGAAUAGAAGUGCCACCCAUAUAUAAUUCUUCUAAUUUUGACAAACUUGGCAACACGUCAGCUGAAAUUGUUUUGAGUUUAGUACAACCACUUACAUCUAACAACUUUAGCUUCAACAACUGCCCAGUUUCCUUGGGUACAAUUUUGAUAUCAGAUCCAGCAAGGCUAUUGAAGUAAUGGUCAGCAUGCAGCAACCAAGACUAUCGAAGGCACUACAUGCAGAAGCUGCUGGUUCUUCAAGUCAGCAAGCUGUUUAUGUUUCAUUUUGUAAUUUUAAGUUAGAGUAAUGUAACUUAGUUGCAUUAUAACUAUGUUAGGUUUAUGUUUGAUGUAAUUUUGAUGUUGAUUGAGCUGAUAAAUCAGCUUUGUUUAUUUGUUCAAGCUAAUUAGCACAAGUUACUAUGUGUAUUAGUGGUAGUAGCUGAAGUUUAGGUCAACCUACUGUUUUGUCAAGAUUGUAAACUUGUUUUAUGUAUUGGCUUUGUGCCAUAUUCAGUUUGUAGAAUGAAAUCAAUGAAGUUUUCAUCUCUAUGCUCUCUAUUUUAGUUUUAUUUCAAAAUCUGUUUGAGUUUUCUGCUUUGUUUCUACUGCAAGUCACGAGACUUGCUCGACAAGCAUUCUGCUGAAGCUUGCUGCUGUUGCACUUAGAUCCAACAAUUGGUAUCUAGAGCCAUAUUCUUAGAGGACCUGUUGUAGUUUAGUAUCAAAACCAUGGCAUCAUCAGGUUUUUCACCAGCUUCACCACCUGUCUUCAAUGGAGAGGGCUUCAACAUUUGGGCAGUUAAGAUGAGGACUUACCUGCAGGCAUUCGACCUAUGGGAAGUUGUUAACUCAGAUGCUGAGCCAGCACCUCUUCGAGCUAAUCCAACAGUUGCUCAAAUGAGGCAACACGCUGAUGAAAGAACAAAAAGGCACAAGGCCAUGUCAUGCAUAUAGAAUUGUGUGACAAAUGUGAUCUUUAUGAGGAUCAUGGCCUGUGAAACACCAAAGGAGGCUUGGGACAAGCUGAAAGAAGAAUUUCAGGGGACUGAGAGAACAAGGCAACAAUAGCUGCUCAAUUUAAGAAGAGAUUUCGAAAAUCUCAAAAUGAAAGAGGAAGAAACAGUUAAGCAGUACUCAGAUCGGAUUAUGGUUGUUGUAAACAGCAUAAGGCUCCUUGGAGAGCAAUUCAGUGAAGCUAGAAUAGUUGAGAAAGUUAUGUCCACUCUACCAGAGAGGUAUGAAGCCAAAAUUUCAUCUCUCAAAGACUCAAGGGACUUGACAACUAUCUCUUUAACUGAGCUAAUCAAUGCCUUGUAUGCACAAGAGCAAAGAAGAGCCAGCAGACAAGAGGAGCACCAGGAAGGUGCUUUUCAAGCCAAAACAAAAGAAGCCUCGAGCACCAAUGCUCAUAAAGGCAAAAAGUUCUAGAAAAACAGGCCUAAGCCUGAUGCUGCUAGAAGCAGUGACCAACUCUGCAGACAUUGUAAAAGAGCUGGUCAUCCAGAAGAUAGAUGCUGGUUUAGACCAGAUGCAGGAUGCCAACACUGCAAGAAAAAGGGCCAUGUUGAAAAGGUUUGCAAGAACAGAAGCAAACCAAGACAGAAUCAAUUUCAGCAACAAAAGGCAGAAGCUCGAGUAGCUGAAGAAAGCAGUGAUCAAGAAGAACAUGUUUUUGCUGUGUCAUGUGCAGCAAGUCAGAAGAAGAGUUCAAAGGGCUGGCUUCUAGACAGUGGGUGCACAAACCACAUGUCACCAGAUGCAACUAUCUUCAAAACCUUGGACAGAACCUGCAAAACCAAGGUGAAAAUUGGAAAUGGUCAGUUUAUUAAUGCUGAAGGAAGAGGAGAUGUGCUGAUUCAUACCUCUACAGGUAGCAAAAUCAUUUCAAAUGUACUUUUGGUACCUGAAAUCGAUAGGAACCUUCUCAGUAUAACUCAACUACUUGAGAAAGGUUACUCAGUUGUGUUCCAGGAGAAAGAAUGCCAAAUUUUUGAUCCAAGUGGAUCAAAUCUCAUAACAGUCACCAUGACUGAUAAAUGUUUUGAAGUAGACUGGCCAAAUGACUUGCAUUCAGCCUGCAUAGCCUUCACUGAUGACUCUAGACUCUGGCACCAGAGGCUUGGACAUGCAAACUUCAAAUCCAUAGCCCGAAUGGUCAAUGAAGGACUUGCUGAAAAUUUCAUCGAUUCAGUGAAGAAUGAUGAGCUUUGUGAGAUAUGUCAGCAAGGAAAAUUGGCAAGAUUGCCAUUUCCUACAGGCACAACAUGUAGAGCAUCAGAGAAGCUGCAGCUUGUGCACACUGAUGUGUGUGGACCAAUGAAGACCGAGUCUCUCAAAGGAAGCAGGUACUUUAUACUCUUUAUUGAUGAUUUGACAAGAUACUGCUGGAUUUAUUUUCUAAAGCAAAAAUCAGAAGUUGCAUCUGUGUUCUUGAAGUAUAAAGCUGCUGUUGAAACUGAGUCUGGUUGCAAACUUAAAGCACUGAGGUCAGAUAAUGGAACUGAGUACACCUCAGCUCAGUUCCAAGCCUACUGUGAAGAAGCAGGCAUCAAACACCAGUUGACUAAUGUGUAUACACCCCAACAGAAUGGGGUCAGUGAAAGGAAAAAUAGAAGCUUGAUGAACAUGGCAAGAUGUCUUAUGUUUGAGAAGAAUUUGCCCAAAACUCUGUGGGCUGAAGCUGUUAACACAGCAGUUUAUCUCCAAAACAGGCUCCCAACUAAGGCUCUGGCUGAGAAGACUCCGUUUGAAGCCUGGUUUGAGUUUAAGCCAUCACUAGCUCAUCUCAGAACCUUUGGUUGUCUGUGCUACACUCAAGUUCCAGCUGAGAAAAGAAGCAAACUAGAUAAAAGAGCUCAAGCAGGGAUCCUGAUCGGCUAUAGUUUGGUUAAAAAGGGUUACAGAAUCCUAAAACCUGCUACAAACAAGAUACUGGUUAGCAGGGAUGUUGUCUUCAAUGAAAAAGGAUACUGGAAUUGGGAAAAGGCUAAGCCAGAGGCAGUGGCUGAAGAUCUGGCAUUGGACCAAGCUGAAGAUAAUGAAAACACACUUGAAAUGGAUGUAGAUGAUGUUCCAAUCAGAUGUACUCGAUCACUGGCUGAUGUUUAUGAAAGAGCACAAGUGGCCACUGUUGAACCAAGUUGCUUUGAAGAAGCAGAGAGCCAGGAGGGGUGGAAGCAGGCAAUGAUUGAAGAAAUCAGAAUGAUUGAAAAGAAUCAGACCUGGAGUCUGAUUGAAAGACCAACAAACAGGAAGAUUAUUGGUGUCAAAUGGGUUUAUCGAGUUAAGAACAAUGUUGAUGGUAGCCUAAACAAGUUAAAGGCUAGACUGGUUGUGAAAGGCUUCAGUCAAAGGUAUGGAUCAGACUACCUGGAAACCUUUGCACCAGUGGCCAGGCUAGACACCAUCAGACUGCUAGUUGCCUUAGCAGCACAAAAACAGUGGUUGAUACACCAACUUGAUGUAAAAUCAGCAUUUCUAAAUGGAUUCCUUGAAGAGGAGAUUUAUGUGGAGCAACCUCAAGGUUUCAAGGUGUCUGGCAAGGAAGAAAUGGUGUACAAGCUCAACAAAGCCUUGUAUGGCUUGAAACAGGCUCCAAGGGCCUGGUAUAGUAGAAUAGAUGGCUAUCUGACCAGUCUAGGAUUUGAAAGAAGUCUUAGCGAGCCAACUCUGUAUGUUAAAUCAACUAGUGCUGAAACUCAGCUCAUUGUCUCAAUAUAUGUCGAUGACCUACUGGUGACAGGAGGAGAUCAUGAGAUGCUAAGCAGCUUUAAAGCCAAAAUGCAACAGCACUUUGAAAUGUCAGACUUGGAAUUGAUGUCUUACUUCUUAGGCAUGGAAGUAACUCAAGCUAAGAAUGGGAUUUGGCUAAGUCAAAAGACCUUUGCUAUGAAGGUUCUCAACAAAUUCUCAAUGGAGAAUUGCAAAGCAACCAGCACACCAGUUGCUAUUGGAGAAAAACUCUCGAGCCAAGACAAGCAUGAAAAGGUUUGUGAAACAACCUAUCGAAGUCUAGUUGGAUGUUUGUUGUAUUUGACUGCUACUAGACGUGACAUAAUGUAUGCUGUAAGUCUACUCUCGAGGUUUAUGCAUUGUUCAAAUGAAAGUCAUUUUAGAGCUGCAAAAAGGGUUCUAAGAUACAUCAAAGGAACCUUGUCCUAUGGAAUGCAGUUUACCAAGGCUGAGAACUUGAAGCUAGUUGGAUAUUGUGACAGUGAUUGGGCUGGUUCCUUGGAUGACAUGAAGAGCACUACAGGUUAUGCAUUCAACAUAGGCUCUGCUAUGAUUUGUUGGAGCUCAAAGAAGCAGGGAGUAGUGGCUCAGUCGACUGCAGAAGCAGAAUAUGUGGCUGCUGCUGCAGCAGUCAAUCAAGCCAUAUGGCUUAGAAAAAUUUUGAAAGAUAUCAAUCAUGAGCAAAAGGAAGCAACUGAGAUAAUGUGUGACAACCAAUCAGUAGUUGCUAUUGCAAAGAAUCCUGUUUUUCAUGGAAGGACCAAGCACUUCAACAUCAAACUUCAUGCAGUUCGAGAAAUGGAGCAAGCUCAUGUUGUUAAGCUGAUACAUUGCAGUUCUGAAGAGCAAAUUGCUGACAUUUUAACAAAAGCACUAAGUGUUUCCAAGUUUCAACACCUGAGAGCUAAGAUGGGAGUUUGCAACAUGCUAACCAAGGAGGAGUGUUGAAGUAAUGGUCAGCAUGCAGCAACCAAGACUAUCGAAGGCACUACAUGUAGAAGCUGCUGGUUCUUCAAGUCAGCAAGCUGUUUAUGUUUCAUUUUGUAAUUUUAAGUUAGAGUAAUGUAACUUAGUUGCAUUAUAACUAUGUUAGGUUUAUGUUUGAUGUAAUUUUGAUGUUGAUUGAGCUGAUAAAUCAGCUUUGUUUAUUUGUUCAAGCUAAUUAGCACAAGUUACUAUGUGUAUUAGUGGUAGUAGCUGAAGUUUAGGUCAACCUACUGUUUUGUCAAGAUUGUAAACUUGUUUUAUGUAUUGGCUUUGUGCCAUAUUUAGUUUGUAGAAUGAAAUCAAUGAAGUUUUCAUCUAUAUGCUCUCUAUUUUAGUUUUAUUUCAAAAUCUGUUUGAGUUUUCUGCUUUGUUUCUACUGCAAGUCACGAGACUUGCUCGACAAGCAUUCUGCUGAAGCUUGCUGCUGUUGCACUUAGAUCCAACAAAGGCUAAGCACAUUUAAGUUCUUGAGAGCUCCAAUAACGGUUAGGUUAUCUCCCAAAUUGCAGCAAUCUAGGCACAAUGUACUGAGGCUAGUUAGGAGACCAAUCGAUGAAGGUAAAGAAGAAAAAUGCAUGCGAGUCAAAUCUAAGACUUUAAGAUUUUUUGCUUCCUUGAAGAAGUUAUCCGACAACAUCGCCUUGCUUGACAAAAGGAAAAGAAAAAGCAGCGGGCAAUUCAACUGGUCAGGAAGCUUGUAAAUACUAGAAUGCGGCAAAAUAAUCUUGUUGCACUCUUUCAUUGACUCUCCAUUUGGCCAAUCUGUUACAAUAUCCUCAUCCUCUGUUAAAGCAAGCACUUGAUUGUCCUUUGAAGCGAUUGAUUUGGCCACAAUAUAAGUAAGAUCAUGCACAUCAAAGUAUUCCUUAUUGGAACUUUUGCUAUCAAGCAACAAACAAGAUUCUUUGAGGGUACUCAGCAUUUUUAACAGCCUAUCUCGUGCUGCUUUCAUGCUGUUGGCUCCUUUAAUUAGACCCAAACCAAGAGCAUAUCUCAACAAGCCUUCAAUCCUAACGACACGACGCAGUAAACUGCAAAGUAGGAAAAUUUGCUUGAGGUCUUCACUCGAUAAAUGAUUGAUACUCAACUCAGUAGCCGAAUGUACCUUAGCAGAUAUAUCAUCUGAGCUUUUUUCUAAGUAAGGCCUCUGUAAUUGUUGUAAAGCAUCACUCCAAAAAAAUAAAUGUUUAUUUCGCAACGCCCUUGCAACUGUAAAGCAUCACUCCAAAAAAAUAAAGGUUUAUUUCGCAACGCCCUUGCAACAGUUGCAAGGGCGAGUGGUAAUCUUGCACAUUUCUCGGCUACCUUAAUUGCUGUAGAUCGCAGCUCCUCAUCACUUUCAAAACUGUCCCCGGCCAUCUUCCUAAAGAACUCCCAAGCUUCUUCGUUUUCUAAAUCACCAAUUGCAAAGGUCUUUGUAGCAUCCAUUCCAUUGCUUAGAACAUUUUGAUCUCUUGAGGUCAACAGUAUUUUGCAUCCUUUGUGUCGACUUCCAAAUGGAAUUCCGACUUCCUCUAGAUCCAGUUUCUUCCAAAGAUCAUCCAAAAUAAUAAGAACAUUUUUAUCCUUCCUUAACCUUUCAAACAAUCUACGGGCUCUUACAACCGGACUGUUUUCUUCAAGCUUCAAACCCAAUGAGUAUGCUAUUUGGUCUUGGAUUUCCUUAAUGUCAGGAAUUCGAGAUACAAUUGCCCUGACAACUGAAUCGAAUAACUUAACCUCAUGGAGUUGUCUCUCAACUUCUUUGACCAGCGAUGUUUUGCCCACACCAGCCAUCCCGUACACUCCAAUCAUGCCUGUUGUUGCAUCUUUCAGUGACUCCAUGAUAUCAUCGAAAACCUCCUCUCUUGAUUUAAAUGCCUCAAAGUCUGGAUGGACUAUGGGUCCAGGAACAUCAUGGUAUCCCACGCCCUCAAAUUGGCAAUCUUUGAUAAGCUCAUCAAAAGUGGCAGCAGCUUCUUCAGCUUUCCUGCUAAGCUGUUAGCGAGACUUGAUGUUGGGACACAAGCCAAAGAAGCACUUGGUCUUCGCUUUGACUUCAAGAUCCUUCACUUUCUUCUCCUUUUCAGUGACAACCUUCUCCACUCGGUGGCGCCAAUCCAGGACAUCGGCUUUAAUCUUCUCCCCGUUCAUUUCUGCAACAUCAACAUCUUGCUGCACACUUGUUCUUUUUGCAAUCAACGUCCUGUGUUUCUGCUCGAACUUGUCAACAAUUUUCUGGUAGAAGAUUACAUAUGUAAUAUGACGUUUAACAUGGUGGAAAAUACCUUUGGCAGCCUCGGAAGAGACAUUGGCAGCAGCACCAGUACCAAUUGCUUCCAUUUUUAUUUUAUUUUUUUGCUUUGGGGAUACAGAUGACAGUCAGAGAGUAGAAAAAGAGGCAAGAAAGAAAAUACUAAAAGGAAAUAAGCAAGCAAGAAGAAAUCAGAAAUGAUGUGAAGAAGCCAUUAGCAGAUAAGGAAUAGAAAUUCAGAAAGGCGUGGAAUUGGAUAUGGACUGUUGUCUUUGACUCUGUUAGACUUUAGAUUAGAAAUCAAAGAACCAGCAAAAGAAAGCAGAGAAUGGAUGUGGACGGUUGCGGGUAUUUUCAGUGGAAAUUAAGUUUAAUGAUUUAACUUAUAAAAAUUACAUAAUUAUUUAUGAGAAUAUUAUAUUUUUAUUAGGGAUGUUCAUUCGGUUGACCGACCCGAAAUAAUAUUAAUUGAAUUAACCAACUUUUUAAAAUCUUUAACCGUUAACCGAACCAAAAUUUUUUAAAAAAAAUUAACCGAACCGAAAUUUUUCGGUUAAUAGAUUACUCCUAUUGUUGAUAUAUGCAACCGCACAACAUUGCAAUUAAAAAAAUUACAAGAAAAAAAGUUCAAUUUUUUAUCCUCUUACUAGAUUUAUUUGGUCAAGCAAACAAAAGAGAUCAAACUUUGUAAAACAACAAUCAUCCUCCAUCUCCUUCCCCAUUCAUCUUCAAGUUUUUCAUUGUUCUUAUACCCUCGCUCAAAUCUCACAAUCUCAAAUACUAUACCAAAUCAAUAUCCAACUUUACUAGACCCAAACUACAUCACCACUUCAUCAUCGAGCACUCAUCGCUAAACCCACAUCGAAAGACGUCUUUUUUUUUUUACAAACAUACCUAAACUCUGUUUCGCAUUUUCUUUUAAUGAGGAAAAAUCAGUUAAUGAAGCAUCACUUAGUCUUAAGCAUCUAAAUCCCUCAAAGCCCUGCAUUUUGCAGCUGAAAUAGAGCCAAAGAUGUUUCUAUAAUUAAAGGCUUUUUUAUUUGAAUCUCUCAGCCAACUAUUUGAUCAUGGUUCUAGUAGAAUUUGGUAGUGAUUGAUUCAAAAAAGUAAUUCAAAAGACUCAUUUAGUUGGGUGAGGUUUAAAGAAAAAAAAGGAAAUAUUUAUUCAAAAAAUUCAAGAAAAUUUGAGGGUUAAAUUUUGUUGAAUCCCUAAAAAAAAGGUAAAUUAAAGAAAUAUUUAUUUGAAUCCCUCAACCAAAUUCAUAUUUAAUCCUUUAUGUAAUUUUAUAUAUAUUUUUAGUAAUUUAUAUUUUUAUGUCAUUUUAUAAUAAAUUUUUAUAUAUUUUCAAGUUUUUAAAACUAUAAUUUUUUUUAAUUUGGACUAAAUUGCCAAAAUAAGCAAAUAUUGAGGGUUAAAUUUGUUGAAUUUUUAGAAUUAAGAACAAAUAGACAAAAUGUGUAAAGUGUUAAGGGUUAAUUUUGUUUUUAUAACAAGUAAAAGACGAUCAUGUCAACAUUUUGUUUAGUGACCAAGGCAUUUUAAUGGAGUGACUAAAAAUGACAAUUAAUCUAACGGGUGACUAAAUUAACAAAAACAAAUCGNNNNNNNNNNNNNNNNNNNNNNNNNNNNNNNNNNNNNNNNNNNNNNNNNNNNNNNNNNNNNNNNNNNNNNNNNNNNNNNNNNNNNNNNNNNNNNNNNNNNNNNNNNNNNNNNNNNNNNNNNNNNNNNNNNNNNNNNNNNNNNNNNNNNNNNNNNNNNNNNNNNNNNNNNNGAUGAGUGACAAAAAAUAAUAUUUCAAUACCUUUAAUGGUAAUUAUAUAACUUUUGAAAGUUGAAUGACUGAAAUACAAUUUGAAUCAAAGUUUAGAAACAAUUGGUAUAGUUUAUUCUAUUUUAUACACUUUUGAACCCUCAGUAAAUUCUUCUUAAUAUUAUUUUAGUUCUAAUUAGUUAUGAUUAAUUAAAUAAAACUAAUGUAAAAAAUUAAAUAAAACUAAAAAAAGAUUAUUAUGAUAAUAUUUUUUUAUACUUUUAAAUUUUUUAAAGAAAAAAAUUAUAAAUUAAAUAAUUAAAUACAUGUUGAAUAAUAUUAUAAUACAAGUUUAUUAUCAGUUGACCUAUAUCUAUAAUUAAAUAAUUUUUUUUAAAAAUUAACAUAUAAUUUUUUUUUAUUGGUGGGCAAUUUAGGGAAAUUUGAGUAGAAGUAGUAGGUUAAUUUUCCAAUAAAAGCCCUUUUUUUUUCAAAAUUUACCGGAAUGAGCCGAUUUUUUGAUUAUUUACCGGAAUGGGCCAUUUUCCGCGAAAUCUCAUCCACGUCAGUGCGAUGCCAGGGUACGCGCCAGGAAAUCGCGUCCACGUCAGCGCGACUUGCUGACGUGGACAGAAAUCGCGCCCUAGAGGAUGCGAUUUGCUGACGUGGCAUGAACAGUUUAUGUUUUUUAGCUUGAAAAACUUCGAAAGACCAUAACUUUUGGCUCGGUUGUCCGAUUGAGCCGAUUUUUUUAUUUCGAAUAAAUUUUUGAGAUCUACGCGCUGACAAACUCUUAGAGAUGAAUAGGGACUAAUUUGUAAAGUAUAAUUUGUUAGUUACGAGUAUAGGGACUAAAGUGUAAUUAUUUCAAAAUUAGCAUGAAAUUUUUGUAUUUAAGAAUAUUUGAAUGUUAUGGAAGGAUGAAAUUGAAUUUGAAUUGAAAAACGAAGCUUAGAUUUGAAAAUAUGACUAUUUAGGUUUUAGGGACUAAAUUGAAUAAAAUGGAAAAUUUUAGGGAACUUCUCAAAAGUGGAAUGAGCUGACUUAUACCUAUAACAGGAUGAUAUAAGACAAUUCUGUAAAAAGAGAUCCGGUGUUUACUUCAAAUAAAUGAGGAAAAUAACGAUUUGAAUGUUUCAAAAUUCAAUUUUAAACCAAAAAAAUCGAAAUUUAGGGGCAAAAAAGGAUCUUUUUCGAUGAAAAAUUUGGCAAACCGCCUACGGCUAUUUGCCAGUGCGUAGAUCUUGAAAAUUUAUUCGAAAUAAAAAAAUCGUCUCAAUCGGACAACCGAGCGAAAAGUUAUGGCCUUUCAAAGUUUUCCAAGCUUAAAAACAUAAACUGUUCAUCCACGUCAGCAAAUCGCGUCCUUGUAGGCGCGAUUUGUGUCCACGUAAGCAAAUCGCGCUGACGUGGACGCGAUGUCCUGACACGUACCCUGACAUCGCGCUUACGUGGACGCGAUUUCGUGAAAAAUGGCCCAUUCUGGUAAGUAAUUAAAAAAAACCGGCCCAUUUCGAUAAAUUUUAACGACUUUUUUUUGGUAAAAUAGCCGAAGUAGUAAUAUUUUUAUUUUCAGUUUUGAAGUUUCAACCUUAUUUUGUUUUCAGCUUGUUCAAUAAUUGAUAAGGUUGGCCACUUGUUCAAUAAUUGAGGAGGCUGGUCGUGUGGGUCUCAUGAAAUGGCACGUGACAUCAUAAUUGAUUUCCUAUUGUUUCGGUUCUACAAAAUAGUUUAUAUUUUGUUUUGCUUGAAAUUGUAAUGUGUUUCAACUCAAUUUUGGUUAAUAUCAAUUUGUAUUGGUGUAUUUAAAUUAAAUUACAGAGUAAAAAAGUAAAAAAUAAAAUAUAUUUUCUAUAUUCGAAAUUUAACAUUUCUACUUUUAUUUUUAGAAAUUCAAUUUAUCUAUUUUCGAAAUUAAAAAUAUAGAUCUAAUUGCUAUCACCGUUAAAAUUUUCUAUAAAAUUAUACAAUGACAUUUAAAAAUUAAAAAAGUUUACUUGAUAACCAUGUAAUAAUAAAAAUAAUGUUAUAAAUAUCGAUUGAGAUUUUUUUUAACACUGUACAUUUGAAUUUGUUAUGGUAAAAAAAUUUUCCCAUUUGAAUAGUAUUUUUAACAAAAAUUGACAUCAAAAUUUGGAUAACAAUUUAACUUAAAGUAAAAAACUAAAUUAUGUUAAAAACUGAACUAUACAUAUAACAACCCACAUUUAAUCCAAUCAUUAAAUCUAAAUAUACAACAUCAGAAGCAAUUUGAAGUAGCUUCUCUUUAAAAGAAACAACACAAAUAUCAAGCAUUUAUCACCUUAUACAAACAUAAACAAUUUAUCACAUUCGAAAUGAAGCGAAUUUAAAAACAUAAACAAUUUAAAACAUGUUAUAUUAAAAACUGUAAGUAAUCAUUGUAAAAGUAUAUGUAUGUACUUUUUUUUUAAUUAAAAAAUUGUUUUCUAUUUGAAAAAUUCAGUUACAGUAAUUUUUUUAGUGUAAGAUAUAAACUUUAAUAUUUUUUUAAAUGUUAGUUACUUUAUUAACCUGUUAUUAAAUUUAAUAAUGAAUAACCAAAAUGUCAUAAAUUUCUAUUCAUUUGAAAUCUUUAAAUUAAAAUAAGUAAACCAAAGAUAUUAGAACGAAUUAAUACAAAAUAAAGUAUAUUUUUAAUGAUUUUUGUUAAAAUAAAAUGAUAAAAAUAUCUUCAAAUAAUAUAAUUAUUUUACUUUCGAAAAAUUAUUUGCGUAAUUUUUUUAAUCGAUCUGGUACCCGAUUGACUCGUAACACCAACUUAGACAAAAAUUUAAAUAAUAGCUUAGAUUUAUCAAUAAUUUAUUAUAUUAUUCAUCAUAUAUUACUAGUUUAUAAUUAUUUAUAAAAUUUACUAUAUAUUAUGAAUAUAUCAUAAAGAUAAAAUUAUUUAUCAUUCAGAGAUUUUGUAACACCCAAAAAUUUUGGUGACAUAAAUAGUAAAAUUUUCUUAUUUUCAUAUCUUUUUAAACAGAAAAAAACAAUGAUUUUAUUCAAAGAAAAAAAAAGGUUAAAAAGAAGCAAAAGGGUUUUGGAAGGCAAACAAUAAAGUGUAAAGAAGCUUUAAAUGUUUAAGGUUAUUUAAAUAUUCACAUGGAAAUAUUUCAUUAAUGGAAGCAUCAAUCACAACAAUAUUUAAGGUUAUAUCUCCAUGCAUGCAUACCAUGUUGUAUCCUUCCAUCUUUGCCAAAGUAUGUAUUAAAAUAAUAUUUCAUUAAUUGGAUGUCUUUUUAAGGAUGUAAAUGAUCAUUGGUUAUGUGGGUACUCCUUGAAAGUCAGCAAGGAAACUUUAUGCGGAAUCCCGGAUCUAAACACAAGAGAAACACAAAUUAGAAAUAAAAAAUAAGAAUAAAUAAAAGUAGUUAAAUAAUAAUAAAAAAUAGAUUUACCCUAUAGAACCCUUGGUUAACUUGCAACCAAAAACGCCAAUGAUUGAGCGGCUCCCUACGAAACCCCUAGAAGAAGAACCUCUAGAAACACCAAUGAACAGGAAAGAAAUUUGAAUAUUUGCAACUCCGAAAUACCCUCGAAAGUAACAAGCUCCAAACUAAAUAGCAAGAGAAGAAUCACUCUACUCUCAAAAAUUUGCCUCACACAAAUUUGAAUGAAAACAAAUACUCUUCUUUUUAUUCCUCCUCCAAUGUGUAGAAAACAAGCCUAUUUAUAGGCAAAUUACAAGAGUAAUUGAAUCCUAAUAAAACUCUUUUAAGAGUAAUUGAAUCCUAAUAAAAACUCUUUAAAGAGUAAUUGAAUCCUAAUAAAACUCUUUAAAAUUAUCUAAGAAAAUAAAUAAAUAAUAACCUAACCAAUAAAAUUACUUAACUCAUAAAUGAUGUGUCCCAACCAAUGAGAAUUAAGCAAAUAAUAAUAAUAAUAAUAAGAUACAUAANNNNNNNNNNNNNNNNNNNNNNNNNNNNNNNNNNNNNNNNNNNNNNNNNNNNNNNNNNNNNNNNNNNNNNNNNNNNNNNNNNNNNNNNNNNNNNNNNNNNNNNNNNNNNNNNNNNNNNNNNNNNNNNNNNNNNNNNNGAUUUUAAUUGUCGUGCCUUGCUUCGAGUGAUUGGACCACUAGGAAAGACAACCCUUUGAGUGUCACCUCCUUGACUCGUAUCAUUCUCCCCCUCUUCAAGAAGAUUCGUCCUCGAAUCUGAACCUACAUCAAAUUCAAAAGGAGAAAGAUCAGAAACAUUGAAAGUAGCACUAACACUAUACUCACCAGGAAGAUCAAUGCGAUAAGCAUUGUCAUUUAUUUUCUCGAGUACUUGGAAUGGUCCAUGUCCUCGUGCAUCAAGUUUAUUCUUUCUCUUAGAAGGAAAUCGUUCCUUCCUCAUAUGCACCCAUACCCAAUCUCCAGGUUCAAACAAGACUUGCUUUCGUCCUUUAUUAACUCGAUGUGCAUUGGACUCAUUCUUUUUCUCAAUGGCUUUACGAGCCUUCUCAUGGAUCUCUUUCACUAAAUCAGCUUUCCUUUCACCAUCUAAAUUAGCAAUCUCAUUCAAAGGUAAAGGAAGCAAAUCUAAAACAGUAAGUGGAUUAAAGCCAUAUACAAUCUCAAAAUGAAUAAAACCUGUGGAAGAAUGAACAGAACGAUUAUAAGCAAACUCAACAUAUUCUUCCCAAGAUUUAACAUUCUUACCUAUUAUGGCUCUAAGCAAAGAUCCCAAAACUCGAUUUACCACAUUGGUUUGACCAUCAGUUUGAGGGUGGCAUGUAGUAGAGUAAAGUAGUUUAGUACCUAACUUACCCCAUAACACCUUCCAAAAGUUACUAAGAAAUUUUGCAUCUCUAUCGAAACGAUAGUCCUUGGGAUUUCAUGUAAUCUCACAACUUCACGGAAAAAUAGAUCGGCAACAUGGGUUGCAUCAUCAGUCUUAUGGCAUGGAAUGAAAUGAGCCAUUUUAGAAAAUCGAUCUACAACCACAAAGAUGCUAUCUAGUCCACGCUUUGUCCUUGGUAAACCUAUUACAAAAUCCAUUGAAAUGUCAGUUCAAGGUGAACUAGGAACAGGAAGAGGAGUGUAUAGACCAUGAUGCAUCACAGUGGAUUUAGCUUGUUUACAAGUAAUGCAAGUAGAGCAAAUUUUCUCAACAAGUUUUCAUAUGUUAGGCCAAUAAAAAUGCUCAUGUAAAACAUCAUAAGUCUUAGUGACUCCAAAAUGACCCAUAAGACCACCACUAUGAGCCUCUCGAACCAACAAUUCUCGUAUUGAACACUUUGGUAAGCAUAGUCUAUUAUUUCGAAAAAGAUAGCCAUCGUGCUUAUAAAAUUUGUGAAAUGUACCAUGUUUACAUGCGUCAUAAAUGCUUGAAAAAUUAGAAUCAGUGGCAUAUAAAUCUUUGAGAUACUCAAAACCUAAUAACUUAGUAUGCAAAGUACUAAGUAAAGUGUACCUCCUUGAUAGAGCAUCAGCCACAAUAUUAUCUUUACCUUUCUUAUACCUUAUAACAUAAGGAAAAGAUUCAAUGAAUUCAACCCACCUCGCAUGUCGCUUGUUCAACUUACCUUGUCCCUUUAAGUGCUUAAGUGAUUCAUGGUCAGUGUGAAUCACAAACUCCUUUGAUAAAAGGUAAUGUUGCCAAACUUCUAAUGCCCUUACCAAGGCAUACAACUCUUUAUCAUAGGUCGAAUAGUUCAAAUGUGCUCCACCAAGUUUCUCACUAAAGUAGGCUAGUGGUUUACUAUCUUGCAUGAGGACGGCACCUAUACCUACACCAGAAGCAUCACAUUCAAUCUCAAAGGUCUUUUCAAAAUUAGGUAAAACAAGAAUAGGAGCAUUACAUAAUUUAUCUUUAAGUUCAUUAAAUGCUAAUUCUUACUUAUCUGUCCAAUGAAAAGAUACAUCAUUUUUAAUAAGUGCAGUCAAAGGCGAAGCAAUUGUGGAAAAGUUACGAACAAACCUGCAGUAGAAACCGGCUAACCCAAGGAAAGAUCUUACCUCAGAAAUAGUUUUAGGGAUAGGCCAUUCUUUAAUUGCCUUUACCUUCUCCUCAUCCACAUGGAUUCUUGUAGAACUUAUCACAAAACCCAAAAAAACAAGCUUAUCCAUACAAAAGGUGCAUUUUUCAAGACUAGCAAAGAGUCGUUCAUGCCUUAACACAUCCAAUACUAAUUUAACGUGCCCAACAUGAUCAUUCAAAGUUUUACUAUAAAUCAGUAUAUCAUCAAAAUACACAACGACAAAUUUUCCUAAAAAAGGUCUAAGUAUGUGGUUCAUUAAUCUCAUGAAUGUGCUAGGAGCAUUAGUUAAGCCAAAUGGCAUGACUAACCACUCAUACAGGCCAUACUUAGUCUUAAAAGUAGUUUUUCAUUCAUCACAUUGUUUCAUUCUUAUUUGAUGGUAACCACUUUUUAAGUCAAUUUUAGAGAAAAUGCAUGCACCAUUAAGCUCAUCCAACAUAUCAUCUAAUCGAGGAAUUGGAUGUCGAUACUUUACCGUAAUCUUGUUGACAGCACGACAAUCAACACACAUUCUCUAAGAACCAUCUUUUUUUGGGAUGAGAAGUACAGGGACCGCACAAGGGCUUAGACUCUCACGAAUCAACCCUUUCUUUAAGAGAUCUUCAACUUGCCUUUGCAACUCCUUAGUUUCUUCAGGAUUGCUUCGAUAGACUAGUCUAUUCGGAAUACUCGAACCAGGCACAAAGUCAAUUUGAUGUUCAAUCCCUCGUAAAGGAGGUAAUCCCUUAGGCAUUUCAGAAGGAAAUACAUCCUCAAAAUCCUGCAAAAGAUCAACAAAACAACUAGGCAAAUGUGUAUUAGGGUUAGUCAAAACAAAGUUUUCCCUAAACCUAAUAAUUACAAAUGUUUGUUUUGUACAAAGAGUAAAUUUGAUAUCUCAAAACCUAGCGAAUAAACUCACUCUCUCAUCUCGUGACUUGUGUGUGCAAUCACUCACCAAUGUUGGGCCUUUAAGCUGGCUUUUAACACUAAGGGCCUCUUUACUCUCAGCCUUUUUCAAUGAUUUUACCUCACUUCCCUUACCCAUCUCACUAGCAAGUUUGAGUUGAUCAUUGUAGACUUAUUGAGGAGGAAGUGGAGCCAAAGUAAACUUCUUUCCAAGGAACACAAAGGUAUAUUGGUUAAGGAAACCAUAAUGAUUUACUCGUUGAUCAAACUGCCAUGGCCGUCCAAGUAAUAUGUGCCCAGCUUGCAUUGGAACAACAUCACACAAAACUUUAUCAAAGUAUCUACCAAUGGAAAAUGAAACUAAGCAUUGUUUAGAUACUUUUACCUCCCCACUAUCAUUCAGCCAUUGCAAGCGGUAUGGCCUUGGAUGCUUCACACAAGGUAGGCCAAGUUUCUCAACAAGGGAAGAACUCACCAUAUUGGUGCAACUUCCACUAUCGAUGAUCAAUUAACUAGGUUGUCCAUCAAUCAAACAUCUCGUGUGGAAAAUGUUAUCUCUUUGUUCGCGCCCUUCCUCUUUAAACUGGACAUUUAAAGCCCUUCGAGCAACAAGUGAUUUCUCACCAUACUCUAAGUAUUCUUCAUACUCAUCAUGAGCAUCUUCCAAAGGAGGCAUUUCAUCUUCGUUAUUAGACUCAAAAUCAACCUCGCCAUCUUCUCGAAUCACCAAUGACUUUUUAUUAGGGCAUUCUCGAGCACAGUGACCCCUUUCUUGGCAUUUGAAGCAGGUAAUAUCUUUUGGCUACUUAAUGGCACUAGGAGAAGUAGAAGAAGAAGAUAGAGCUUGAUUAGUAGAAGUAGAACCUUUAAAUGAAUUAGGCAUACCUCUAUCUCAUACCUCUAUCUUUGGAGUAAGUUCUAGGCUCAUUUGGCUUGGACCGUGCAUCUCUCCCAUUCCACAAUCUAUCAUCUUGUUUUUGCCAAUUUCCUCUCCAAGCAGGAUUAGAAACUGAACUAGUACCCCUCGGUGUCCCUUUCUUUCGUAAUUGCUUUUCAAUGGUGAGUGCGAUUUGAAGCAUCUCUUCAACAUCCAUGUAGUGUUGUAACUCAACUCGAUUUGCAAUCUCAGGCUUUAGGCCGGCAAGGAAUCUAGCCAUAGUUACAUCAGCCUCUUCAACAAGAUUGGCUUUAAUCUGAAUAGUCUCUAUCUCUUUGUAGUAGUCAUCCACAGAUCUAUCUCCUUGAACAAGAUGUUGGAGUCUUUGAUGGAGUUCUCGAUAAUAGUAUGGUGGAACAAACUGUUUUCGCAAGAUGCGCUUCAUUUCAACCCAAGUAGUAACAGGUUGCUCUCUAUAAAGAAUCCUGCUUUUACAAAAUUGAUUCCACCAUGUUAGUGCAUAAUUAAUGAACUCAGCGAUAGCGUAUGUUACCUUUUUCUCAUCAGAGUAAUUGUAACAAGCAAUGACUGCUUCCAUCUUUUCCUCCCAAUCAAGGUAAGCAUCAGGAUCAUUCUUCCCUGAGAAAGAAAGAAAUUUUGGUUUGGGGGUGUCAUUGUUUCAUUCCACCCUUUCUCUAGGUACAUACUCGGACUCAAAGUCAUCAUCAAAAACAUGGUCCUUCCUUCGUUUAAAAGUUCGAUCUCGCAAAUUUGAUCAGAUUAUAAAGGCUUCGUUCAACUUCUUGUAAUUAUCGGCAAUGUAUCUCUCUUGAGUUGUAAGUUUUGUAUCAAGAUACUCCCUUUGCUCUUGUAACAUCUGGGUCAUGCGAUGUUCGAAUUGAGUUUGUAACUUUUUCAUCUCUUUUUGUAACAACUCGACCAAAGGAUCAUUCUCUCUUUUUUUCUCAUCCUCUUCAUUUUUACUAGUUUGGGAUCUAGUAAGCGGCAUGAUAUCUGUGAAAGAUCAAACAAACAGGAACAAGAAAGAAAAAUAAUAAUAACCUCACUCGUUAGCUCUCAAAAGAAUAACUCUCUGAAUGAUUCAAAACUUGUAAAUAUGUUUGGAGAGGGUUACUAAUCAAGAUCAACGGAGGUGCAAACUUCAAAGAAACAAUGAAGACCCUAAUUGCUCUAAGAGGCCAAUAAACUUGACGAGGCAAUUUGUAAUGGAGGCUACACGGAUGAAGGAAUUGUGCGUGCCUUUAAUAUCUGCUAACACAAGAAGAAACAAAGUGUUAGAAAGCGUAAGAGAAAUAAAAAAAAGCGUAGACCUGCAACGAUCCCUAACUCUAGAGUCAAAGAAAAGCUUUAAUAAGAAGAAAACUUAAGAAAAACUCUACCCAAAUUAAAACAAAAAAACAAAAAAUCGAAAACGUUUGGUGUAUUAAGAUUUUCAAAAAUUGAAGCUUUAAUUAUACUUGAGUCAAGAAAAAAAAGAAGGAAAAUAAAUUCAAUUUUGGGAAAAAUAAAAAUAAUAACAAUAAUAGGAAAAGAAGAAACCUACGUAUGAAAGGUAGGCAACUUUUUUUUUACGAUUUUUUUUGCUCUUUUUACUUUUUUUCUUUUUUUUUGCUGUUUUUUUUUAAAGAAUAAGAGGAGAAUAAACACAAAAUUCAAAAAAAAAAAGAAUCGACGAAACUGAUGAAAAGUGUUUUUAGUAUUUUGACUCGUUUCGGAUUUGAUUUUAGCUUCAAAAAUAACACCGACUGGCCUGAAACUGAUACCAACUGAUGUGGAAUCCCGGAUCUAGACACAAGAGAAACACAAAUUAGAAAUAAAAAACAAGAAUAAAUAAAAUUAGUUAAAUAAUAAUAAAAAAUGAUAGAUUUGCCCUAUAGAACCCUUAGUUAACUUGUAACAAAAAACGCCAAUGAUUGAGCGGCUCCCUACGAAACCCCUAGACGAAGAACCUCUAGAAACACUGAUGAACGGGAAAGAAAUUUGAAUAUUUGCAACUCCGAAAUACCCUCGAAAGUAACAAACUCCAAACUAAAUAGUAAGAGAAGAAUCACUCUACUCUCAAAAAUUUGCCUCACACAAAUUUGAAUGAAAACAAAUACUCUUCUUUUUAUUCCUUCUCCAAUGUGUAGAAAACAAGCCUAUUUAUAGGUAAAUUACAAGAGUAAUUGAAUCCUAAUAAAACUCUUUUAAGAGUAAUUGAAUCCUAAUAAAAACUCUUUAAAGAGUAAUUGAAUCCUAAUAAAACUCUUUAAAAUUAUCUAAGAAAAUAAAUAAAUAAUAACCUAACCAAUAAAAUUACUUAACUCAUAAAUGAUGUGUCCCACCAAUGAGAAUAAGCAAAUAAUAAUAAUAAUAAUAAGAUACAUAAAAGAUUAAUCCACCAAUUUAUGGGCUUUCACAAUUCCAAGAUUGGUCCAGUGAAUUGCAUUCCCUUAUUUGUCAAUGUCACGAACAUGAUGAAUUAAAUUUGUAGCAACAAAGUCUUGGACAAAAGCAUUCAUCUUUGAUUUUAAUUGUCGUGCCUUGCUUCGAGUGAUUGGACCACUAGGAAAGACAACCCUUUGAGUGUCACCUCCUUGGCUCGUAUCAAAACUUUCUUUCGUAUAGAAGCUCGAGCUAUUUUUGAAGUUUUACAUAUUGCAUGGGAGAAAGGUUAUAGACAGUUGGAGAUUGAAUGCGACAAUGCACUACUUGUAGAGUCCGUUUUUACUGGUAGUGCUGCCAGUAGUAACCUAGCUGAAUUAUGUUUAAUCAAUGUUUACCUUAAGGGGAAUUGGAAGACAAGAAUCUGUCACAUUCCUAGAUCUCAGAAUAUGGCUGCUAAUUGAAUGGCGAAAUGUAUUUAUGAUAAUUAGUUUAGGUUGAAGCUUUUUCAAGGUCCCUUAAUUUUGGUUCAAGAGAUUUUACAGUCAAAUGGUGAUUUCCUAAGUAGAGUUGUGUGAUUUCAUUGUUUUCGCUUAAUGUUGUUUGUUUCUACUAAAAGAAAGUAGAACAAAAUUAUUGUAAAGAAGUGUUCAAAUCUAACUAUAUUUAUAUUUUAAAUGGUUUUUAUUAAAAUUAUAAAAUGACUAAAACACCCUUAAAUAAUAUAAUUUAUUUUAAUUUCGAAGAAAAUUUUCAUGAUUUUUUUAAUCGAUUUGGUACCCAAUUGACUCAUAACACCAGCUCAAUUAAGGACUUAAAUAAUAGUAUAAAUUUAUUAAUAAUUUAUUAUAUUAUUCAUCAUAUAUUACUAUUUUAUAAUUAUUUAUAUUUUAUUUACUAUAUAUUAUGAAUAUUAUAAAGAUGAGAUUAUUUAUUAAAAGUUUUGUAACAACCAAAAAUCUUGGUGGCAUAAAUGAUAUUAUUAUGAGAAUAUAAAUAGUACAAUUUUCAAAAAGAGGGUAAGAAUUAUUAAUUGAAUAAUGUAAGUAGAAUUGGACACCAAAAUGAAAAAGUAUAAAUAGAAAUUUUUGAGAAAGGAUUCAAUUGAAAUUUUGCAAAAGUGUGAGGAAUAAAAUGUGAAUAGCUUAUAAAAGAAAAAUGGUAGAAAAGUGAUGAAGUAUUUUAUGUAAAAAUGAAAUUGAAAAUAUAUUGAUAUUUAGAAUUUAAAAAAUUAGGGAGUUAAUUAAAUUGUAAUUAAAAAAUUAGGAGGGACUUAAGUGAAAAGAUGAGUUAACUGUAAUUAAACCAUGAAGAAAUAAUACCUCCAAAAGUAAUUAUUACAUUAGGAUACAGAUAAGUGAUGGAAAAGGGUUGAAAUGACUAGAAAAGUAAUUAAUGAUUUAAUAACUAAAUAAAAUAAAUGAUGAAAUGCCGAGAAAUGACAAAUAUAUCGGGCAAAACACUAAAAAAAGCCCUUUUUUUUUAAAUUUACCAAAAUAGGCUGGUUUUUUAAUUAUUUACCGGAAUGGGCCGUUUUCCCCGAAAUCGCGUCCACGUCAGCGCGAUGUCGGGGAACGUGACAGGUCAUCGCGUCCACGUCAGCAGGUCACGCUGACGUGGACGGGAUGACCUGUCACGUAGCGCGUUUUCCGGGGCGCGAUUUUGACGUUGAUUUCACGUUGGGUUUUCUGGGUUUUAAGGUUUAGGGUGCAAGCUUUUUUAGGGUUUAGGGGUACCGAAAAAAAUUAUUUCGUUUAGGGUGCAGGCUUUUUUAGGGUUUAGGGGUCCCGAAAAAAAUUAUUUCGAGUUGACGUUUCUGGUCAAAUAGUAUAAAAUCGCUUCUACCAGGAUGCUAUUAGAGAAGAAAUUGUGAAAUCGUGCCCUCGUGGACGCCAUUUCAGCACAGUUGGUCAUGUAAGAAAUAAUUUUUUUUUGACGUUUUCUGAGCAAAUAGUAUAAAAUCGCUGAUACCAGGAUGCUAUAUGAGAAGAAAUUGUGAAAUCGCGCCCUCGUGGACGCGAUUUCGCUACAGUUGGUCAUGUAGGAAAUAAUUAUUUUUUGACGUUUCUGAGCAAAUAGUGUCAAAUCGCGCCCUCGUGGACACGAUUUUGCUACAGUAGCAAGUUUGGGCUGAGGCUAUAAAUUAGGUAGAAAAUGUUCUUAAAAUGCAUAAGUCAUAGCAGAAACAUUUUAGAGAGGCUAAGAAAGUUAGAGUUUCAAAAUGAGUGAACGUAUUAGUGCUGUUAUUUACUACGAUGGUGAGGUUUGCCACACCGAGAAUGGUGUUGUUUUUUGUCGGAGAAUACGGUGCNNNNNNNNNNNNNNNNNNNNNNNNNNNNNNNNNNNNNNNNNNNNNNNNNNNNNNNNNNNNNNNNNNNNNNNNNNNNNNNNNNNNNNNNNNNNNNNNNNNNNNNNNNNNNNNNNNNNNNNNNNNNNNNNNNNNNNNNNNNNNNNNNNNNNNNNNNNNNNNNNNNNNNNNNNNNNNNNNNNNNNNNNNNNNNNNNNNNNNNNNNNNNNNNNNNNNNNNNNNNNNNNNNNNNNNNNNNNNNNNNNNNNNNNNNNNNNNNNNNNNNNNNNNNNNNNNNNNNNNNNNNNNNNNNNNNNNNNNNNNNNNNNNNNNNNNNNNNNNNNNNNNNNNNNNNNNNNNNNNNNNNNNNNNNNNNNNNNNNNNNNNNNNNNNNNNNNNNNNNNNNNNNNNNNNNNNNNNNNNNNNNNNNNNNNNNNNNNNNNNNNNNNNNNNNNNNNNNNNNNNNNNNNNNNNNNNNNNNNNNNNNNNNNNNNNNNNNNNNNNNNNNNNNNNNNNNNNNNNNNNNNNNNNNNNNNNNNNNNNNNNNNNNNNNNNNNNNNNNNNNNNNNNNNNNNNNNNNNNNNNNNNNNNNNNNNNNNNNNNNNNNNNNNNNNNNNNNNNNNNNNNNNNNNNNNNNNNNNNNNNNNNNNNNNNNNNNNNNNNNNNNNNNNNNNNNNNNNNNNNNNNNNNNNNNNNNNNNNNNNNNNNNNNNNNNNNNNNNNNNNNNNNNNNNNNNNNNNNNNNNNNNNNNNNNNNNNNNNNNNNNNNNNNNNNNNNNNNNNNNNNNNNNNNNNNNNNNNNNNNNNNNNNNNNNNNNNNNNNNNNNNNNNNNNNNNNNNNNNNNNNNNNNNNNNNNNNNNNNNNNNNNNNNNNNNNNNNNNNNNNNNNNNNNNNNNNNNNNNNNNNNNNNNNNNNNNNNNNNNNNNNNNNNNNNNNNNNNNNNNNNNNNNNNNNNNNNNNNNNNNNNNNNNNNNNNNNNNNNNNNNNNNNNNNNNNNNNNNNNNNNNNNNNNNNNNNNNNNNNNNNNNNNNNNNNNNNNNNNNNNNNNNNNNNNNNNNNNNNNNNNNNNNNNNNNNNNNNNNNNNNNNNNNNNNNNNNNNNNNNNNNNNNNNNNNNNNNNNNNNNNNNNNNNNNNNNNNNNNNNNNNNNNNNNNNNNNNNNNNNNNNNNNNNNNNNNNNNNNNNNNNNNNNNNNNNNNNNNNNNNNNNNNNNNNNNNNNNNNNNNNNNNNNNNNNNNNNNNNNNNNNNNNNNNNNNNNNNNNNNNNNNNNNNNNNNNNNNNNNNNNNNNNNNNNNNNNNNNNNNNNNNNNNNNNNNNNNNNNNNNNNNNNNNNNNNNNNNNNNNNNNNNNNNNNNNNNNNNNNNNNNNNNNNNNNNNNNNNNNNNNNNNNNNNNNNNNNNNNNNNNNNNNNNNNNNNNNNNNNNNNNNNNNNNNNNNNNNNNNNNNNNNNNNNNNNNNNNNNNNNNNNNNNNNNNNNNNNNNNNNNNNNNNNNNNNNNNNNNNNNNNNNNNNNNNNNNNNNNNNNNNNNNNNNNNNNNNNNNNNNNNNNNNNNNNNNNNNNNNNNNNNNNNNNNNNNNNNNNNNNNNNNNNNNNNNNNNNNNNNNNNNNNNNNNNNNNNNNNNNNNNNNNNNNNNNNNNNNNNNNNNNNNNNNNNNNNNNNNNNNNNNNNNNNNNNNNNNNNNNNNNNNNNNNNNNNNNNNNNNNNNNNNNNNNNNNNNNNNNNNNNNNNNNNNNNNNNNNNNNNNNNNNNNNNNNNNNNNNNNNNNNNNNNNNNNNNNNNNNNNNNNNNNNNNNNNNNNNNNNNNNNNNNNNNNNNNNNNNNNNNNNNNNNNNNNNNNNNNNNNNNNNNNNNNNNNNNNNNNNNNNNNNNNNNNNNNNNNNNNNNNNNNNNNNNNNNNNNNNNNNNNNNNNNNNNNNNNNNNNNNNNNNNNNNNNNNNNNNNNNNNNNNNNNNNNNNNNNNNNNNNNNNNNNNNNNNNNNNNNNNNNNNNNNNNNNNNNNNNNNNNNNNNNNNNNNNNNNNNNNNNNNNNNNNNNNNNNNNNNNNNNNNNNNNNNNNNNNNNNNNNNNNNNNNNNNNNNNNNNNNNNNNNNNNNNNNNNNNNNNNNNNNNNNNNNNNNNNNNNNNNNNNNNNNNNNNNNNNNNNNNNNNNNNNNNNNNNNNNNNNNNNNNNNNNNNNNNNNNNNNNNNNNNNNNNNNNNNNNNNNNNNNNNNNNNNNNNNNNNNNNNNNNNNNNNNNNNNNNNNNNNNNNNNNNNNNNNNNNNNNNNNNNNNNNNNNNNNNNNNNNNNNNNNNNNNNNNNNNNNNNNNNNNNNNNNNNNNNNNNNNNNNNNNNNNNNNNNNNNNNNNNNNNNNNNNNNNNNNNNNNNNNNNNNNNNUCACUCGAGGACGUAGAAAUGGAAAGCGAAAUCGUGCCCAUGAUUGCAGUAGUGACAGGCAACCUCCGAUUUUUGCUCUCCUCGGUUUCGUCGCCCGCACAUCUCACGAUAUAAUGUUGCCAAGACGGCAGACCCCCAACUAAAUUCACCGGUUGCUCUAAAAUCAACGAGUUUUAGCAGCCACCUUAGAUGUACACGGCUCCGUGACGUGUCGGCCAUCCGAUUGCCUCCAAUUAUUUGAAGAAUGUAUGAUCGGGCAUAUCGAAUUCUUUCAAUUUCGGUUGAAUUUUCAUUCAGAUCGGGGAAGGUGGCACGUAACCAGCCCAUCUCCACCUUACCUCCAUCCAUUUUAUCCGGUACAGCGCCCAAAAGCUCGUAACACACCGCCUCCUAGUUGCUAGAUUGGGCAGACCCGGUGACUGGGUGCCCGUCCACCGGCAAUCCCAAAUGCAGAUGGACAUCUUCUAGAGUGAUAGUGCACUCUCCACAUGGAAGAUGAAAUGUGUGCGUCUCGGGUCUCCACCUCUCGAUGAGCGCACUGAUCAGUUUCGGCUCCAACUUGCAUCCCAGGCCUACCGUCGCCACGUGCCAAAAUCUCGCUUCCCGCAGGUAGUUCUCUACUAAUGGUGAUGGAGGACCAUGCAUAUUCCGAAUAAUGCAUUCCAAUACCCGAUCUUCAGACUAUUAUAACAAAAAAUAAAUUAAUAUUUAUCUAAAAAUACAUAAAUAAAAUUAUCUUAAAUAAAAUUUAAAAUUUAAAUUUAAUACUUACCAUUUUCAUUUGCUCCACCGAUAUGUGAUUCCUAUCAAGACGAAUCAAUGAUUCGGCCAUUGCAGAAAAUAUUAAAAAUUUUAAAAUUAUUUUAAAAAAAUAAAAAUAUUUAAAAUUUUCUUUAAAAAAAAUGAAAUUGAAUGGAAAAAGAAAUUUAAUAUGGAGUUUAGAGAUUUUUUGAAGGAAAUUGUGAGGAUUUUGGAAGGAAUUCGAGAGUUUAAGAGAAUUUUGGAAGGAAAUUGAGAGAAUUUUGGAAGGACUUUGAGAGAAUUUUUGAAUGAAAUUGAGAUAGGAUUUGUUUGUGAAAAAAUAAGAGGUAGGGGGGGUUUUUAUAGUUUAAAAAUUUCUGACUGUUGGGGGGGCAACGGUCAAAUUUUUGACCGUUGGGGUACUGUUCAUGCGCGGGUGUCAUCGCGUCCACGUCAGCGCGACCUGCUGACGUGGAAGGAAAUCGCUUCCUCAGGGACGCGAUUUCCUUCCAUGUCGGCAGGUCGCGCUGACGUGGACGCGAUGACCUAUCACGUUCCCCGACAUCGCACUGACGUGGACGCGAUUUCGGGGAAAACGGCCCAUUCCGGUAAAUAAUUAAAAAACCGGCCUAUUUCGGUAAAUUAAAAAAAAAAAGGGCUUUUUUUAGUGUUUUGCCCAAAUAUAUCAUGAUCUUUCAUCCGGAGGUGGAUUUAGGGGUUAGCCCUCUAAAAUGGAAAUUCUGUUAUUUUAAAUUUUUUAAAAUUUAAAAAUUUUAAAUUAAUAAAGAUAAAAUUAUACUUUGACUCUCUUAAAAGUAUUAAAAUUUGAUUUAAUCUUUUAAAAAUUAUAAAUAUAUAAAUAAUUUAAUUUCGAACCUAAACUUAUUUCCUGACUUGCCCCUGCUUCCAUCAUUGGUUUCGGAUAAAGAUACUCCAUGUUUUUUUCAACUAUAUUUUUUAUACUAACAAUGGACUCGAAAAUAGAAUGAGAACACCGUAUGAUGGGAAUUUUAGUGAAAAAGUUGUUACGACCUGAGAAUUUUAGAAGAAAAUCUUUAUGCCCAAGUCUUGUGGAAAAUAUAUAUAUAUAUAUAUAUAUAUCUUUUUUGAGGAUUUCGAAUUUCAUAUUAGAGGAAAUAAAUGUUAAUCUUGAUCAAUGGGUUUAUAAUUGUCCAUUUGUAGAUCAAGUUACUGCUAUAUAGGUUGAAGGAAAUAACUCGAAUGUUUUAUUUGAAAGAGACAUAACAAUUCAUGAUCAUUCUAGAAGGUAAGAUAGGGUUAAAUGGUAUAAUUUUGUUGUUACAAUGUUGUGCAAUAUCCUAUACUCUUCCCAAAUGGAUAAGUUGGGUGGCAUCAAACUGUUAAGAAAGUUAGACUUAAUGGUAAUGAAGAAAUUUUUGAAUGUGAAAAUAAUUUUAUAAUUUUUUAAAUUAUUUUAAUUUUAUUAGUUUUAUUUAAUAAUUGUUUUUACAAUUUCUCUAUUAUACAUUUGUAAGUAAUUGAAUUUGUGAGUAGAAACUAAAUGGUGGAAUACAAAUAGAAAAAAAAAAGCCCUAAUGAAAUACAACAUUUUUGAAUUCACCAUAACUUAACUCACAAAUACAUUUUCAUAUUUACGAGUUUUUAAACAUAAAAAACAAUGAUUUUAAGACUUCUUCAAAGAAAAAAAAAGGGUUAAAAAGAAGCAAAAGGGUUUUGGAAGGCAAACAAUAAAGUGUAAAGAAGCUUUAUAUGUUUAAGGUUAUUUAAAUAUUCACCUGGAAAUAUUUCAUUAAUGGAAGCAUCACUCGCAACAAUAUUUUGAAGAUUUAAGAGCUUCAAAACUUCAAGCUUAAAAUACACCCUUCUGGAAGUUGUCCAUGCCAUAUCUCUUUCAUGUUGCCAUUGCUUUCCAAUCUCAGUUCUUGUAAACAAGGGAAUGUGACCUGGUCAGUUGACAAAUGUGUUAAACAAAAGCAAGGAUUAAUUUCGAUGAAGGAAAUGGAAUUGUCGCAAUGAGUUUAUUACAUAUCCAGACACUCUUGAACUCUCAAUGUCGCAUAAUACUAAUACAAAUCUCAUGCUCGGUCUUCCGUUUUAGAUGGUAAACAUGCAUACUAUUUGAAAUCAGAUUAGGAUAGCAAGGAUGCAAUUAGAUAAAGGGUAUAGAAUUGUGCCAACAGUUCUGUCAACAUUGCUUAAUACUAAUACUAUUUUCAUCCUUGGCCCUUCGUUUUAGUUAGUAAACAUGCAUGCUAUUAGAAUUCAGAUCAGGAUAGCUAUCGAGAGAAUGCUUAUGGAUUAGAUGUGGAUGGAUUUAUGCAGAAAGAAAAACAUGCACAUCUAGUUUUACUAAUUACUAUGUUAGAAUAAGAAAUAGAAAAUGAAUGCAUCUUGUGGACAUGUUUCAUAUACCAUAUUGAUCCAAAAUAAGGGUUGCUGUCCUCCUGUUUCAUGGGAGCUUAAUAUUCUGUAGCAAAUAUCUCCACUUUGUCACAUCCAUAAAGAUCCAAAUUUUUCAAUAAUGGCCAUUCGGUGGUAUGCAGCCCAGAGUAGAAACUCUUCAGUUUUGGUAGCAUAGAAAGGUUCAGCUAUGUCAUUUGAGGAAAUAAAAACUGGUUCUUAUUUCUGCCUCGGUGAAUUUGUGUUCAAAUAAUUCUUCUAAUGAGGCACACUCCAUUAUUUGCAGAUUUUUUAGUCUCUGAAGUCUUUCCAGCAUAUUAAGUGGGAAAAUGUUUGAUAGUUUCACACAACUAUGCACUUCAAGGUGUUUUAAUUUGGAGGAGGAGUUCAUCUCAAGUUGGUCAUCCCAUAUCCUUUCCAUAUUCCCCAUGUCUACAAUUGUCAAAUCCUUUAACAAAGGUAAUGACACCUACAAAAAUCAUUUGAUUGUGUUAAUAACAGGACAUGGUUAAGUAUGUGAGAAAAGAGACAGAACAAUGGAGAGAGGGCCUUUCGACUUUAUUUGAUGAAUUCUGUCUUAAAAUAUUUUAAGCCCCAGAAAAUAUCACUGAACAAUGGGUGCAAAGAGAUACAUGGAUGCAAUUGCCAAGCAUUUUUCAUUUCGAAAAUUGCACUUACAGAAAAAUCGUUUUAAAGAAAGUGAAAAAUUCACAAUGCAGAUCAGCCUGACCUUAUUAAUGAAAAAGGGUUUAGCAGAGACAUUGGACGCAUCCUUUACAAGAAUAUUCGAGUAUUCUCCACCAAUGAUCUCAUUGUGCAGCUUGUUUGAAACAGUGGAUGCAAAUGCAACCAUCUUUGGCCAGCCAACUAACGGAAUUUCCUUCAAGUUUGGACAUUCCAAUAAAAUAUAUACAUCACACACACACACACACACACACACACACACACAUAUAUAUAAUAUAGUAAGGGUUGUUAUUAUUAUUUACUAUUACUUUAGCCUAAAUUAAAAAUGAUCUAAUUUGAUUAAGGGUUAUUGGGCUUUAAUUAUUAAAUAAAGUAUAAGUCAAAUAUGUAUAGAUACUCUAGUAAUUGAGUUCUAAUUAAUUUCUAAUUAAUAAUGGGUAAUUAGGAAUUAUGACUAAUAUGCCAAAGCUAUAUAUAUUAGGGUUAUGACCCCUAAAUUACAGACAAUAUAUAUUUUCUAAUAUCCCAUCCUUAGGAAAGAGAGAGCAAAUAUUCUCUGAAUUUUUUGUGUGCUAAUUUGGAAGAUUAAAUUUUCAAAAUUCAUAGAUUUGAAGGAAUUCAUGGAUUCAGGUAUGCUUCCCCAUCUAAUUUUAUUAUUAAUUUGUUCUUAAUGAUUUGACUUGAUAGAUCCUGGCUUAUAGUUUAUUAAGUUUUUUUUAGAUUUAUUUUAAAAAUCGAACAAGUGGUAUCAGAGUCUCGUCAUGUUGAAUCAUUGAGAAUGAAUUGAUUUUUUGUUAUUUUUGGAUUGAUUCGUUUUUUUUAAUUUUAUGGAUUUGAUAUUUUAAUUAUAUACUAUGUUGAAACUUUGAGUUUCUUGAUAAAAAUUUUGGGUUUUAAUUCUUUAAGUAAAGUUUUAGGGUUUUAUAAAUAUAAUCUAGUUUAAUAUUUGCAUAUGCUAUUCGAAAUAUGAAUGUUUAUUUAUUUAUAUAUAUAUAUAAUCAAUUGAUAAAAAUUGAUUUGUGAGAUUUCUUUAUCUUCUUUUUGCACAAUUAUUUUAUAAAUUUUGGUUAAAGUCAUUAUUAGAUUAAAGUUACAUACUUAUAACUUUUUGCAAUUGAAGAAUUCCAAUUGGGAUGUAUAAUUGGUUUUGAAAGUUAAUUUAUUUGAUAAUCGAAUAAAUGAAUGUUGUUAAGAUUUUUUUUUGCACUAUUUAUUUUAAAUUUGUGGUUGAAUGUAUAUGGAAUUAUCAUCUUUUGUGUUUAUUCAUGAUGAAUUAUAUUCACCAUUGAAUUCAAUUCAUAUAUACGAACUAUUACUUUUGGUUUCUGCUAUAAUUAUUUUAUAUAAGUUUUAGUCCUUAUAGAACUAGACUAAAAUUAAAAUAUUUGAGAUUUUUUUUAAUAUGGUGGCUAUGAAUUUUCAUAAGUAGUUGCGCAUAUGAAGGCUUUUAUACAAUUUGAGAUUCUUUUUAUAUUUGGUAGUUAUGGAUUUUUUUUAAGUAUUUGUGCAUAUAAAAAAGUUUUAUGAUAAUGUCUUUAGUCAUGAAUAUAAAUUUGAGUUUACAUGAAAUAUGUAAGACAAGCAGUAUUAUUUUUCUAUUAUUAUAAUUGUGUGUAUAUAUAUUAUAUGCAUAUCAAUGAUUUUGAGGAUUAAUGCAUGAUUAUAGUUUAUGUGAAUAGGUGUUUAUAACCAUUAUUCAAUAAGAUAAUUUUUAUAGUUUAAUUGGUGAUAAUUUUUAUAGUUUAAUUGGUGAAAUUAAGUUUUGAUGGAUAUUGUUAAAGUUGUUAAAUUUUUUUAUUAUGGUUAUAUAUUUAAUUUUAUAGGUGCUUUGGUGCAAAUUCAUGUCAACUAUACACAUGCUUAAAUAAUUUGGUUUUAAGUUUAGUUCUAUAAUAUUAUUAGGUUUUGGGUUCCAAAUAUUUGGUUAAAUUAUAAUGUUAUGGUUUAUUGCAUGAAUUAUGAGAUAUGCCAACUAUUAUGAUUUUGUUUUUGAAAUUUAUUGGCUUGAAAAUAUUUUCAAGUAUUCAUGCGAAUCUAUAUUUAAUCAUAAAUACAACUUUAGAAUUACAUGGUAUAUUUCUAUUUGAUUAUGAAUACAUAUAUAUAUAUAUAUAUAUGCGUGAAUUGUUUUGGUGUUUUUGUCUAUGCCAAAAUUAUGAAUACAUGUGCUUGUUAAUUAUUUGGCUUUAAACCACUACAUUAUUUCUGUUUGGUUUUGAUAUAUAUGGUUUUGGAACAAAAAAAACACAAUCAAAUAUUAAGGUUUUUAGGUUUUUAUUACAUUAUUAAGACGACCUUAUUUUGGGUUAUUUCAGAGUCUAUAAAGCAAUAAAUAAAAUAUUUUUGACCUUUAACUAUUGGGUAAAUUUUAAAUUUGAAUAUUAGUAUGUUUAUAUAAUUUUUUAAAAUAACUUAAUUAAAGCAAUAAGUCACCAAAAUGAUUUUUUUUAUAAAUUAUUUUUUUAAACUAUAAAAGGUUGUGUGCAUGUAACUUAUGUUAAUAUUGAUCGGCCUAACUGAAGGUUAAUAAUAUUAUAUGUGCCACUAUGGUAAUAAAGAUGUGACAAUUAUUCGGUUUUACAUGUGAGCAAUAAAUUGGCCCAAAGGAAGAUUUAUGGUUCGGCAUGUUCUUAUUAUCAAUGUUUGAUUAUUACACCAGUAUAUCACUUACAAAUUAAUAUUUUUUUCCAAAGAUGAAAUAUUAAUAGAGUGUACGAUAUCUUGAUAUGAGGUUUAAAUUUAAAGUAUUAUGUAAGCUUAUUUUAAUUUAUUCAACUAUUAUUAUAUUUGCCAGUAUGUUGUUUUGGGAUAAAUAUAUAUUCAUAUAUAUACUAUUAUCUUUUAAUUUGAUUGAAAGAUGAAAUUAAGAGAAAUAUUUUGAAACAAAUAAAUUCAGAUUUUGACUUUAGGUUUUAAUUAAGGAUGUUUAAUAUUUUAAGUAGAUUAGUUGAAACAAAAUGCUGCCAAAGUGACCUCUUUUGUGUAGAUUAGUUUAUUUAAAAUAUCAAGAUGAUUAUAUGUUUUUGUGAUUCAUGCGUUUAUUAAUUGAACCAAAGGCAAGUUAACAUUUGGUGAAAUUUCAACAACAUCUGUGGUGAUAAAUGUGUGACAAUUAUAAGGUAAUUUAUGUGAACAAUAAGUUAGUCCAAAGAUUAAUUCAUUGUUUGACAUAAUUUAUUGUCAAUGUUUAAUUGUUGCAACAAGAGUACCGUUUACUGUUAAUAUUAUUGUCCAAAGACUUUAUAUUAAUGUUGUGUUUGGUAUCUUGAGAUGGGGUUAGUCAUUAUUUUGAAUUUAUUGUUUACUUAUGAAUAUUGAUGUGACCUUAUUUUUAUUUAUUUAUUAUUCUAUAUUCAACUAAUUAAUCUUCUACUGCCACAAUAUCUGCUAAUAUAAAUUCUAUACUCAUACUUAAUGUGACUAAUUUCAAUGAAUGGAAAAGACAUUUACCUAUAGUGCUUGACUAUAUGAACAUAGAACAUUGCACUAACGGAAGAACAACCCCCACCUCUCACUACGGGAAACACCCCUUAUGUUAAAAGGAAUUUUGAGAGGUGGGAUCGUUCAAAUUGCAUGAGUUUAAUUAUCAUGAAGCACAACAUUUCAGAAGCCUUUAGGGGCAUAGAAUCUGAAAAGAUUACUCACGCAAAAGUUUCCUUGACAAAAUUGAAAAACGUUUUGCUAAAAACGAUAAGGUUGAAAUGACAUCACUUCUAACUUUUUUGAUGUCUACAAAGCAUAAGGGUCAAGGAAAUUCUGAGCGAUUUAAAGGCUAUGAGUUUUAUGAUCCCACAAUUAGGAAUAUUUUUUAGAUGAAAAUUGUAACAUUAUUUUAGGAUGUUGAGUUUGGAGGGAGAAAUAAGGUUAGAGAUAUUGCUUUUAAGGAGGAAUUGAAUUCUAACUCAGUUUCUACUAUCACUUUUGAUGAUGUUUAGGUUCUCACACCUAUCAUUGAUUAAGAAGUGAAUCCAGAACCUCAGUAAGACAAUGUUGAACAAAUCUCUAUUCAAGAUGAGGUAAUUGUUCUAGAAUAACAAACUCAACAACCUCAAUAAUGAAUGUCUUUAAAAAGGUCCACUAGAGAAAGUGUUAUACUGGCUUUAGUGGAACAUUUUGACCUUAAGCUACAUUAGAUGAAUAUUAAGUUAAUGGUUUCUCAAUGGUAACAUUGAUCAUACAUUUAUAUGGUGCAAUUACAAAACUUUGUGUUUGAUGAUGAAAAGGUAAUGAUUUGAAAAUUAAAUAACUUCAUCUAUGGGAUUAAGUAGACUUCUUGUCAAUAAUAUUACAAAUUUUACCAAAUGAUUAUCUCAUUCAGUUUAGAGAUGAAUUUUGUUGAUAAUUGUAUAUACCAUAAGUUUAGUAGGAGUAAGGUUCUAUAUUUGGUUUUAUAUGUUAAUGACAUACUGCUUGUCAAUAAUAAGUAUAGGCUCAAUCAAUGCCCUAAGAAUGAUUUUGAGAUUACAAAAAUUCAUAAGAUUUUUUACAUUUUAGCAGUGGAAAGUCUAAUGUACGUUCAGGUUUGUAUACAUUGGAAUAUUGUUUACACUGUUGGGAUGUUAGCCAGAUUUUUAAGCAAACCUGGUUUGGACAAUUAGAUAGCAACAAAGAGGGUUAUGAGGUAUUUUCAGAGAACAAAAGAUUACAUGUUCACAUAUCAAAUGUCUAAUCAGUUAGAGAUCAUCAAGUAUACAGACACCAAUUUUGAUGGAAUAUGGAUAUAAUAUCUUGUCACUAAGGUGCAAAUUGUGAAAACAAAUUGCAAUAUUUUAUUCCAAUAGCAACAGGGGUACAUCAAAGUCAAAACAAAUAGACUUUAAGUUCCUAGUUAUUAAAGUAAAGUUCAGAGUGGUUAGGUGCCUAUAAAGCAUAUUAGAACAAUCUCCAUGAUAGUGGAUCCGCUUACUAAUGGGCUACACCUAAGGUUUUAUAAGAGCACACUGCUUAUAUGGGCGUAAUUUCAUUUAAGGAUAUUUGGUUUUAGUGGGAGUUUGUACUUUUAAAUACUUUUAUGUUAUAGACACAUUUUCAGUUAUUUCAAUUUAUGUAUAUUAAGUUUAUUUUCUGUAGAAAAAAAGUUUAUUUGCUUUAUUCACACUCUGAUUUUGGUAAGGUUUGAUCUCACUAAGGUUUAAGAAUGACCAGUUGAAAAUAGACAUGUUUAGAUCAUAUUGCAUAUAAUUUUUCAUGCUACACAUCCAUACUUGAUCAAUGUCAUUUGGUUGUGUUAAUAUACAUGAUCAAGAUGGAUUUGGUUACAAUAUAUGUAACGAAAGUCGCAUUGGUUUGAUGUUAACAUAAUUAAUGGACGAGAUUGUUUAGAAUACAUUUUGGAUAUGAUAGUAAAACUUUUUAGCUCAUAAGGUCAUAUAAUAACAUGUAAUUAUAAAAUAAUUAGUAUAUAUAUGUGGUCCAAGUGGGAGAUUGUUGGAAAAUAUGGACAUCACAUAUAUAUAAUAAGGGUAAUUAUAUGUUAUUAUUUACUAUCAUAAUAGGUUAACCCAAAUUAAAAGAGAUCUAAUUUGGUUAAGGGUUAUCGGGAUUUAAUUAUUAAAUAAAGUAUGAGUCAAACAUGUGUAGAUACUCUAGUAAUUGAGUUCUAAUUAAUUUCGAAUUAAUGAUGGACUAAUUAGGAAUUAGGACUAAUAUGCCAAAGUUAUAUAUAUUAGGGUUGUGGUCUCCAAAUUACAAACAAGAUAUCUUUUUUAAUAUCCCAUCCUUAGGAAAGAGAGAGAAAAUAUUCUUUAAUUCUUGUGUGCUAAUUUGGAAGAUCAAAUCCCUAAAAUCCAUAGAUUUCAAGAAAAUUCAUGGAUUCAGGUACGCUUCCGUAUCUAGUUUUAUUGUUGAUUUAUUCGUAAUGAUUUGAUAUGAUACAUCCUAGCUUACAAUUUAUUAAGUUUUAUUUUAGAUUUAUUUUACAAAUCUGACAUUCAAUGCAAAACUUCCUGAGGAAAACCAUGCCAAGUCCAAACAAGACUUGAUAGUUAUUGUUUUAAGCUGAGGGAAUAUAAUCUUCAUUGUAGUUGAUUUGUCAUCUCUAAUGAUUUCUUCAAUUACUUUGCAAUUUUUUACUUUUAUCUGUUGCAGCUGCACAAGAUCUGCAGCCAUGGAAGCUGUUAACAUGUAUCUCAAGUUGUUAUAGUCAUACACUUUGUUGGUGUAAAGAACAAAUGAAAGAAAAAAAUAGCUUGUAGCUUCUGCAACAAGGCUCGAUACUUGCGGAAGAAACAACCGAAUUUGAAAAACAAAAGAAAGAACAAAAACAAGAUAAAAUGGAGAGUAUAUGCAAGAAAACAAACUGAUUUCAUUCAACUUUGAACAAUGGCAUAAUGCCAAUACAUAAACCAAGCAUUAAGCUUGUCAAAAAAAUAGUAAGUGAUCACCUAAUCAACACCUACUACCACUAAUACAUUGAAACUUGCAAAACAAAGCUUGUACGCAUAGACAAAUCUGAGUUAAUAGCUCAUUCACUAUCAAAUUACAUCAAUCCUUAACCUAACAUAGUUCAAAAUGAACUAGAUUACAUUACAUCAUCCUAAGCUUACAAAAUGAAUAGCAGCAUUAGCUUCAGCAGCUCCUACAUGGCCCGAUCUUUAUGGUCUGCUUCUUGAUUGCUUUGUUACAUGCUGACCAAACUUCAACACCCCUCCUUGGUUAGCAUGUUACAAACUCCUAGUCUUUUACUCAAAUGCUUGAAUCUUGUUACACAAAGAGGCUUGGUUAAAAUGUCAGCAAGUUGAUCCUCUGAAUUGCAAUAGACUAGUUUCACUUCCUGAGCCUGCUCCAUUUCUGUAACAACAUGGAGUUUAAUAUUGAAAUGUUUUGUUCUUCUAUGGACCACUGGAUUUUUUGCGAAUGCAAUAGCAAAUUGAUUGUCACAAAAGAUCUUUGUUGCUUCCCUGUGAUGCACAUUCAAGUCAACCAUAAUUUUUCUUAGCCAAAUGGCUUGGUUGACAACACUUGCACUUACAACAUAUUCGGCUUCAACAGUGGAUUGAGCAACUAGUGUUUGCUUCUUCGAGCUCCAACUGAACAUGGCUGAACCAAGAUUGAAAGCAUACCCAGAGGUGUUUUUCAUGUCAUCCAUCAAACCAUCCCAGUCACUGUCAAUUUAGCCAACCAACUUCAGGCUUUUAGCUUUGUUGUACAUCAAGCCAUGGCUCAACGUACCCUUGACAUACCUGAGCACUCUUUUUCCAGCUUGAAGGUGCUUCUCAUUGCUACAAUGCAAGAACCUUGAGAGCAAACUUAUAGCAAACAUAAUGUCAAGUCUAGUGGCUGUUAAAUACAGCAAACAACCAACUAAACUUCUGUAGGUUGUUUCACAAACCCUUUCAAAAUUACCAUAGCUCGAUAGCUUUUCUCCAACAGCAACUGGAGUAUUUUUUGCUUUGCUGUUUGGCAUUGAGAACUUGGUCAAAAUCUUGGAAGCAAAAGCUCUCUGAAUUAGGAAUAUCCCAUGGUAUGUUCGUGUCACUUCCAUGCCAAAGAAAUAGCUCAUCCUUAUCAGACAUCUCAAACAUCUGCUACAUUUUGGUUUUGAAAUCAGUCAGCAUUAUUUGUUCUCCUCCUGUCACUAGCAGGUCAUGAACAUACAGGGAUACAAUGAGCUAAGUUUGUGCCCCUUCCUUCUUGACAUACAAGGUUGGCUCGCUGUUGCUUCUUUCAAAUCCCAAACUGACCAGGUAGCCAUCGAUCUUGUUAUACCAGCCUUUUGGAGCCUGUUUCAAGCCAUACAAGGUUUUUUUCAUUUUGUAGACCAUAUGUUCUUUACCAGCUACUUCAAAACCCCGUGGUUGUUUAACAUAAAUUUCUUCCUCAAUAAAUCCAUUAAGGAAGGCUGACUUUACAUCGAUUUGGUGGAUUUUCCACUGCAUUUGUGCUAUUAAGGCAAUCAACAGUCUGAUGGUGUCUAGCCUGACCACUAGUGCAAAGGUCUCCAGGUAAUCCAGACCAUAAUUUUGGCUAAACCCCUUAACAACCAGCCUUGCUUUUAGCUUAUUCAAGUUCUCAUCAGCAUUGUGCUUGGCUCGAUAAACCCAUUUCACCCCAAUGAUCUUCCUUUUGACUGGUCUUUCAACCAGCUUCCAAGUCUGAUUCUUCUCAAUCAUGUUGAUUUCAUCAGCCAUUACUUGCUUCCACACUUGUUGAGCUUCAGCCUCUUCAAAACAGCUUGGUUCAGCUAUGGCUACUUGAGCUCUUUCAUAAAUCUCAACCAAUGGUCUAGUACCCCUGACUGGUUCAUCACCAAUGUCCAUUUUAGGACUAUUUUGAUAUGGCUCAGUUUGGUCUAUUACAAGAUCUUCAGAAACUGCCUGUGGCUCAUUCUUUUCCCAAUUCCAACAUGACUUCUCAUCAAACACCACAUCUCUGCUUACAAACACUUUGCUUGUUGAAGGAUCCAAGAUCACAUAACCCUUUUUGACUGUGCUGUAGCCCACUAAAAUACCAGGUCGAGCUCUUUUAACCAGUUUAUCCCUUUUAACAGCAGGCACAUGUGCACAGCAGAUACAACAAAAGACCUUUAGGUGAGCCAAUGAUGGUUUGAAUCCAAACCAGGCCUCAAAAUGAGUUUUGUGAUCCAAAGCCUUGGUAGGAAGCCUAUUUUGGAUAUACACAGCAGUGUUAACUACCUCAGUCCACAAGGUUAUAGGCAAAUUCUUCUCAAAUAGUAGGCAUCUAGCCAUAUCCAUCAAGCUCCUGUUCUUCAUCUCACUUACACAAUUUUGUUGAGGAGUAUAGGUGUUGGUGAGCUGGUGUUUGAUGCCUGCCUUAUCACAAAAGGCCUGGAACUGAGCUGAGGUGUACUCAGUCCUAUUGUCAGACCUUAUGGUCUUGAGCUUGCAAUCUGUUUCAGUUUCAGCAGUAAUCUUGAACUUUGAAAACACUAAGCCUACCUCUAAUUUCUGUUUCAAAAAAUAAAUCCAGUAAAAUCUUGAAAAAUCAUCAAUAAAUAGAAUGAAGUACCUACUUCCAUUCAGUGACUUGGUCUUCAUAGGGCCACACACAUCAGUGUGCAUGAGCUGCAGCCUUUCAGAGGCUCUCCAUACCUGAUUUGAAGGAAAAGGGAGCCUAGCUUGCUUUUCUAGCUGACAUUCUUCACAAACCUUCUGUUUUUCAAAUGAACCAAUGAAGUUUUCAGCCAAGUCUUCUCUGGAUAGCUGAUCAAUUGAUCUGUAGUUGGCAUGACCAAGUCUUUGAUGCCAAAGCUUGGAUUUAUCAAUUGUGGCUGUAUAGGCAGUGUCUGAGCCAUUUGUCCAAUCAAUAACAAAGUUCUUAUCAGCCAUAGUGGCUGCCAUGAGCUUGGAUCCACUUGGAUCACUAAUUUGGCACUCCUUGCCCUUGAACACUACAAAAUACCUUUUCUCUAGCAGCUGAGCCAUGCUAAGCAGGUUUCUAUCAAUUUCAGGUACCAACAACAUAUUCGAGAUGAGAUUGUUACCUAUAGGAGUGCAUAUCAACACAUCUCAUUUACCUUCUGCCUUUAUAAAAUGACCAUUACCAAUUUUAACUUUGGUUUUGUAGCUUCUAUCUAAUGACUUGAAAAUGGAAGCAUCUGGUGUCAUGUGGUUUGUGCAACCAUUGUCCAAGAGCCAGCCAUUUGUAAGCUUCUCCUGAGCAGCUGAGCAUGACACAACAAAAACUUGCUCCUCACGGUUACUAUCUUCUUUUACUACUCGAGCCUCAGCCUUUGGCUGUUGGGGUUGGUUCUGCCUUAACUUGCCCUUGUUUUUGCAGACCUUUUCAACAUGCCCCAUCUUUUUGCAAUAUUGGCAUUGCACAUCUAGUCUAAACCAAUAAUUUGCUUCUGGAUGACCAGGUCUUUUGCAAUGCCUGCAGGGUUGGUCCCUUCUUUUUGCAGCAUCAAACUUUGGUUUGUCUUUCCAAGUCUUUUUGCCUUUGUAGGCAGUGUUAUUCAAGGUAGGUUUGGUUUUUGCUUGAAAGGCACCUUCUUGGUGCUCCUCCAGUUUGCUAGCUCUUCUCUGCUCUUAUGCAUAGAGAGCAUUGAUCAGCUCUAUCAGUGAGAUGCUGGUCAGGUCCCUUGAAUCUUCAAGGGAUGAAAUUUUUGCCUCGUACCUCUCAGGUAAGGUUGAAAUCACCUUCUCCACUAUUCUUGCUUCAUUGAACUACUCACCAAGGAGCCUUAUGUUGUUUACACAGUCAUAAUCCUGUCUGAGUACUGUUUGAUAGUUUCUUUUUCCUUUAUUUUCAAAUUCUCGAAGUCCCUUAUCAGAUUCAACAACUGUUGCUGCCUUUUUCUCUCUGUCCCUUGAAACUCCUCUUUUAAUUUGACCCAGGCCUGUUUUGGUGUCUCACAAGCCAUGAUCCUUGUAAAGAUGACAUCUGACAUUGAGUUCUAGAUGCAAGACAUGGCCUUGUGCCUCUUAGUCCUUUCAUCAGCAUGCUGCCUGAUCUGUGCCAUUGUUGGAUUGGCUCUAAAUGGCUCUAGUUCAACGUCUGAGUUGACCAUCUCCCACAGAUUGAAUGCCUGCAGAUAGGUUUUUAUUUUGAGUUUCUAAAACUAUGCUUCUAGACUGAAUGAAGAUAAGAUAUAUAUGCAACGUAAUAUUAGUACCUUUCCAUCAAAAAAGUAGUCAAGACCGUGUAUUCACCGAUUCCAGUUGAUAAAUAGAACGACUCUUCUCUUUGGAGCAGAAACUACGAAGCUCUGGUAGAAGCUGUAGUGUUAAGGAUCACAAUUGGCCAAACUCAAUUUUAUUGGUUUCUAUAUCAGCAUUAUGCUCUCUCUCUCCAGUAACAAUCUCUUCAAUGCUUUUGCACUUUGAAACUUUAAUUUCUUGAAGUUAGACAAGCAUUUUUGUCAUGGAGAAGGAAAAAUAUUCUUGAGUCAGUCACAACAUUCGACACUUAUGAUUUUCAAUCUCUUGAAACUUCUUCUUCAAGUUUGCCUUGAUAAAUAUUCUCCAAAUGAACCAAUGAUUUGAGGAUAGAAAAGGCUUUACAUGAUGCCACCUCCAUAGAGUAAAAAAUAAACAGUAAUUCUGAACCAUUUUUUAUGUAGAGAUUCCUGAGCUGUGGAAAACCAGUGCCAUCCAACUCAUACAGCAAGUUCUUGAUGCCUUGCAUUUCAUCUAGAUAUAGAUCUUCAGUUUUCUGCAACAACAGUUUAACUCCAUGAUCCAAGUGAAUUCCCUUAGUAAGCUAGAGUUUCAGUGUCUCUCAUUUUCAUACUUUUUGGACCAGUCCCAGACCUCCCCGAUAAGAAUCUUAUAUCGAUUCAGUUUUUCAGAGAAUAGUUCUACUGGCAUAAGUUGAAUAGAAUGAAUAUGGACAUCCAAAGAAAUUAAACCAGACAAAGACUUCAAUUCAUGAUGUGUCUUCAUGUUGCUAACUAAAUAUACGACUAAUGCAAGUGCACUUAUCUAUAAUAGUAUAGUUAAGGUGAGUUGAGAUAUCGUAUCCACGAGGACUAAAAAUAUUAAUCCUGGAAAUAUUAAGCACAUUAAACAUGAAUUAAUAACUGGAAAUAUUAAAAUAAGAAAUAAAUAUACAUAAAUCAAGUAUUUAUCGAGUAAAAUAGAAAUUACAUAAUAUAAUGUAUCAUAGGUUUCAUCCUCCCUAGGUAUCUAGGGAAUUAGUAAUGAAAACAUAUUAAAGUCAUAAAAACCACAAGAAAUAAAGAAACUCAUAAAAAUUUCAAAAGAAAUUAAAAAGAGGUCUUCGAUCUUGAUGGAAAUUUGAUUCCGAGUUGGCUCCAAUGGUGUUCUUCAAGUUGUUUCUUUGAUCUUCUCUGAUGGCUCCUAUAUCUCUUAUUCUAUUUGGUAAUUAUAGACUUUAGAAUGCUCAAAAAGCCUAAAAAUUGUGUUUUUUCGCGUGUUUGAGAAGCAGGUUGCGAAAUCAACAAGGGUUGGCACAUGGGCGUGUGUCCAACCCGUGUGGCUCCUGAAAUUUUCUCUUUUUCUCUGACUUUCACUCAUUUUGCUCCCAAAUGCUCACCUAAGUAUAAGAACAUGAAUUAGAAGGAUUAGAAGCAUCAAAUUCACCAAUUUGUAUAAAUAAUCAUCCAAAAACGCAUUAAGAAUGAGAUUAAAAUAUGUUAGUUUUAUCAUUUAUCAAUAUCCCCAUACUUAAGCGUUUGCUUGUCCUCAACCAAAAUCCUCAACUCACAUUAAAAUUAAUCUUUCUCAACUUAUAAUUCUCAUCAAUAAUGUUAUGAUUCACAAAUAAUCAUGUAUUGACAAUUCAACUAAAAGGGCACUUAAAGAUUCAAACAAUCCAAGUCGAAAUUUUUAAAGCACGAAAACAUAGGUAUCUCCCCUUAUCUAUGUAAUUACCUUUAAUUCAAAAUCGACAAGAAUUGGCAUCCCCACUAAAGAUCCACACAAAUCAUUAAAAAUGUUUAAGGUUCAAGAAUAAGCACUCAAUAGUCGAAUAAGAAAUGUCAUUACCAUAAGCUUGCUUGAAAAUCAAAUCUCCACCACUAUAAAUUGAUAUGACACACUAAUCAAAAGUUUUUUCAAGAGGUUCUAAGGGGGCUUAGGUUACGGGUGCGGAGAAAGGCUAGAAAAGUUGGUUAUAAUCGAGAUCAAGUUGAUAAAUUAUCAAACUAGAAAAAAAUAAAUGUUGAAUUAAAAACAAAUGCAUCAAUCAAGAAUAUUCAAAAACAAAAACAAGAUUCUUCUCAAAAAAUGAAUUUAAUUGUUCAAACUCAAUCAACAAAUAACUAGUUAAUAAUCAAUAUUUUUUUCAACUUUUUUUUCUUUUUCUUUCAAGAACAAUAAGAAAUAAGUCAACAAAUCAAACAGAAGAGCAUAGCUAGGCAACUAACCAAAUCAAAUCUCAACAAAAAGAGAAGUCAAUAAAACAGGAAAAAGUCACAACGAACGAAAAAAUGGGUUAUAGUUAAUAUUAACGGGUCAUUCAAGAAAAGGUGUGUUAGGCUCAACGGGGUUCACUAAUGAGUUAAUUAAAAAGGUAGACUUUUUUAUGGGAUAAGUGGGUUAAAACCUAAGUGCUUUUAUUAUCUCAGUAUAUCAAAUCAAAGAUGUGGUCUUGACAUGCAUAAUUGAAGCAAGUUCUAGAAUAACAAAUCAAGUUGACACGCUCAUAACCAAUAAUAGAAUGAACAUGUAAAAUGUAUGCUCUGAAGACUCAAAAUCUCACAAAAAACAUGGUUUUGAUGUCAAACUUGCAAAUUUAAAACUUCAAGAUAAUACCUCAAUUCAGGGAAACAACCUAAAAUUUUUAAUUCUGAAAAAUAACUUAUUAUGGUUGAUUCUUUCAUGUCUUAAAUUUUAAAUAAACUAAUGCACAAAUAUCUACAAAUUAAUCCAAAACAAAUCAACAAAAAUCACAAAUCGACAAAAUUUCAUUCUAAUUCAAGUAUGAGAAAUUUACUUAAAUACAAUAAAUAAUUUAGGGAUUUUUAAUAAUUAUAUAAAUAACCUCCCCACAUUUAAGAUGUACAUUGUCCUCAAUGUACUAACAAAUAUAAGCACAGUAUAAACAGAAUAUCAUAAGAGAGGAAGAAAACUGAAACUGCCCUAAAUAUUGGAUGAAAUCGUCAAAAUGGUGAAAAUCAAAAUUAUAGGCAAAUCUAAAUAUAGUGCAUGAUUCCGAAAAAACUAAUAAGAAAAUAAACACAAAUAAUGAAAAAUAUUAAGAGGUUACAAACUCGAUUAGAAACAACCAUAAAAAUAAAAAUAAAAAAUAGCUCAAAAGAUAAUAAACGAAAUAAGUCUAAGAAAAUAAAAAUAAAACAACUAAAAGAAAAAAUAAAAAAAUAAAAAAAAUCAAUAGUCUUCUUUGUCAGAGCCAUCGUGGUCGUGAGGCACCAAAUCUAAAGAAGAUAUAUGGAGGUGCUGACAGAUUUACUACAAAGUCGCAUCAAUACAGUUGAACUAUUCAUAAAAGUGUCACUCAAAACGAGUGAAACGCUCGGGGAGAUCUGCUAAGGUGGUAGCAAAAGUAGUAGGAUAGUGACUCUAAGAUGGAGGAUAAGGUGGAUCCUCAUGGUGGAAGGGGACAUCAUCGGUGAAUUUUUCAUGCUCAUCUUGAGGGUCAAAAUGAGAUAACUGGUAUUGAGGAGGAUCCACUCCACAAAGUCACUCGAUCAUCCUCAUGUGACUCAUACUCGAUAAUCCCUGCGUGGUCAUUUUCCCAAUAAUGGUAAAGGAGGAGGACUACUCCAAAGUGUCGAGGAUGUCAAAGUGUCGUGCGAGUCGAGUCACAUAAAGGCCUAAGUAGAUAGGGCCCUUCCUACCGCGCUCUGUUUGAUGGCACACAACUAGGGCGAUAAAAUAAGCAAGAUCAAAGGUGUGCCUCGUGGCCAUGUUUCAUAGAAAAUAAGCGUUGGUUGUACCGACAACGCCAGUGCUCUCCCUCCGACCGGUCAAAGUGUGAGCUAAAAUGGCAUGAAUAUAGUGUAAGGCCGGAGGUAAGGAAGCCACCUUCGAUCGACUCGUAUCAUAAGGCGUUGUACUCGCAGUGAGGUUUACCCAACAUAGAGAAGGCGAGUAGUGUAUAUGCCGGUAUAAACUGAGAAAGCUCUCGUGACUCAUGAACUCGUCAGUGAAAAGUCCUAAUGCAGCUCCGAACACCGGGACGCUCAUAUGACGCGUUGUGCCACCGAGUCUGAAGGUAAUAGUUCCCGGCUCAUCGUGUGUUGACAUCACUUGCUGAAAUAGGAAUGUUGAGCAAAAAUUGAGAGUAAGCUUCGAGUAGAUGGGCUCAAUGAUGGAGAAAAAUUGGUCCCAAGGAGUUGUGGCAAUGGUGACGCGCACUCUAUCAGCUAACUGCACCUACUCUAAAGUGGCCCAACCAAUGCAACGACCUAAUCCUAGUGGCCUCUGUCAAUGAUGCUGAUAAAGGUCCUCUUGAGAACCUUGUGCAAAGCGGAGGUAUGGAUGGUGGGAACCGGUGAAAGCGUCCGACGAUGAUGUCGCGCCCAGAUUUUUCUGCUUUUUCGAAGCAGGGAUGGCGAAUUUAGAUUUGCCACUUGUGUUGGUCAUUAUGUCCUUGAAAUAAAGGAUAAAAGUAAAAAAUCAGAUAACCAGAAAAAUUAGCAUAAACAACAUAUCAAAGAAAACAACUAUUGUAGGCCAAUAAACAGCACGAUAGAGACCGAAUUGAAGUGAAAACCUAAACCACAAUACUGAACAACUAACCUAAAAAAAUUCACCAACACUCAAGCAUGAUAAAAAUAAAAAUAAUAUAAUAAUAAAGAUAAAGUGAAAUAAAAACAAUCAAGGCCUAUUAAUAAAAUAACUAAAAAUAGUGAAACAUAAACUAAAUAAACAAAACCAAUAACAAUAAAUGCAAAAUAAUAUAUAUAUAUAUAUAUAAUAAUAAGAAGAAGAAGAAUAAGAUAAAUAAAAUUAAUGUAUAAAAUCGGAAAAAUAAAAAUAAGAAUGCAAAUAAUAAUCAUAAAAAAACUAAAGAUAAAAUAAUAAGAAUAUAAAUAAAAAUCAAUAAUAAGCUAAACAUAAUAAUAAAAAUGAUAAUAAAUAAAGAAGUAAAUAAAUAAUACGGUAAAAGAAAGGACCAAUAAGACUAAGGUUAUACGGCGGCGGUGGUAAUGGGCGGCGAUCCACGACGGUAGGCCGAUGAGGGGAUGGUAAGGAAGGAGGGGGAAGGCGGGGUGGUUUGUGGUUUAAAGGAGGGGAAAGGGAAACAAAGAAGAAAAUGGAAGGGUUAGUUGAAGGAAAAGAGCUGUCGGAGGUGGGGUGGAACCAAAGAGAGGAGCAAAUGGCGGGGUGGUUUUGUGGAGGGAAGAAAAUAGAAAGGGGAAGAAGAGAGAAAGGAUGAGGACGGAUGGGGGUGAGGGAGAGAACAGGUUCAGUUAGGGGAAGGCUGUGAUGGGAAUAAGGGAAGGGAAGGAAAAAGGGAAGGAUGAGGGACACAACGACGUGAGAGGGAGCGAACGGGGGUGACGAACGACGAGGAAAUGGUCGAACUGGUGGGUGGAGAGUCGAACGACGUUUAGGGUGGGUUGUGAGAAGAAGAAAAAGUACAAAGAAAUUAGGGUUUUUUGGGGGUAAUAAAGGAGACACAGUCGUGUUUAGACCCGUGUUGGGCAACACGCCCGUGUGGUACUCUUUUAGGCUGUGUGUAAUUCAAAAAAAUUAAGCCUAGUCUUCACACAACCUCAGACACGCCCGUGUGCGAUCUCCUUUGCUUCUCCCACGCCUAUGUGAGAGGCCGUAUGGGUCACACGAUCUCAUACACGCCCGUAUGUCCCGAUCGUGUCUCGCACAUUAUCAUGUCUCUUGCUCGUGUAACUCAUUGACUUGAAAUUAAAAUUAAAAAAUUAGUUCCAAUACUCACACGUCCAUGUGCCUAAGCCAUUUGUGCCACACGGCCGUGUUUCAAAGCUAUGUGGACCACCUCAGGCUGUGUUACAAUUGAAUUUUGGAAAAAUUAAGUCUCGAGAUUCACACGGCCAAGGACACCCCCGUUUGUCCAGGCUGUGUGACUCACAUGGACAUGUUUUUACACCAUGUAACUCUAUCAUUUGCUCCCUUAUGCAUACAGCCUAGGACGCGAUUGUGUGUCCACGCCGUGUGGGUCAAAAACACACAUUUUUUUUAAAUUUAACUUUAAAUUAGCAUGCAAUAAAUUAAAAGAACUAACUGAGGUUAAACACUCAGGUUGCCUCUCGAGAAGCGCUUAUUUAGAGUCUAAGUUUGACUUUACCUUAUGCACGAUUACGAUGGUUCAUAGAGCCGAAGCUCCUAUUUUUCGUUAUCAAUUAUUCUACCAAGAUAAGGUUUGAGUCAAGUACUAUUUACCUUAAAUGUGUCUAACUCAAAAUGAGUUACCUCAACUGUACCAUAUGGGAAGACGUUCAAUACCGUAGAUGGGUUUGAUCCAUUUUGCAUCAAGUUCCGAAGAGGCAAUGCAUGGAUCCGUUUUGUCUAGUAGUACUUCAUCCCCAACCUUAAAUUAGUUUGUUCCAUUCAUAUGCACCUCAUGAUGUCGCUUUGGCUCUUCAUCGUGUUUUCUCGAUUUCUCCUUGACAUGUGUUCGCCAUUCAUCUAGUUCAUUGAGUUGCACCAUUCAUUGUUAAUGAGUUGUUCUAUUUUUGUCACCUUUACUGAAACAUGGCUCUAUUACAUUUUCACCAGAGAUUUCCUACAAUGAAGGUUGAGCCACAUGGUUACUCACAUUAACAGAACAUUUCAUACCAUCUCGUUCACUAGAGAUUUUUGCAGAAUCACGUGUUUGGAGAGUAAUCGUUUUGUCACAUACCCGAAGUACUAAUUCACCCAUACCAACAUCAAUAAUAGCCCUGCUAGUGGCUAAAAAGAGGCGACCUAAAAUUAAAGGUAGCUCACUACCCUCAUCCAUGUCCAACAUAACAAAGUCAACGGGGAAUAUGAAUUUAUCUAUUUUAACAAGCACAUCCUCAAUAACACCCCGAUGGUUCUAUCUGCUAAUUGAAUACUCAUCCUAAUGUGUUUAGGUUUCCCAAGACCUAGUUGUUUAAAAAUUUUGCAGGGCAUGACAUUAAUAAUGGCCCCUAAAUCAGCUAAGGCAUUAUUAUUUAAACUACUAGUGAGACAAGGAAUAGUAAAACUCUCUGGAUCUUUAAAUUUGUUGGGUAGUUUAUUUUGUAAUAUGGCCAAGCAAACUGCAUUGAGCUCUAGAAUCGACGAGUCGUCUAACUUCCUUUUGUUUGCCAAAAGCUCCUUUAAAAAUAUGACGUAAUUUGGCAUCUGCGAAAGAGCUUCAACAAACAGUAAGUUAAUAUGUAAUUUCUUUAAGAGCUUGAGGAAUUUACCAAAUUGUUCGUUCGUGUGGUCUCUCUUUGACACCUUAGGAUAUGGCACUCGAGGUUUAUAUUCCUUGACAAUCAGCUUUUUCUCUUUCCUAUCUUCCACAGCAUUAUCGUUAUACACCACAAUUUCUUGCCUUAGUUCUUGUUCAGAUUCAACUAACCCUUCUUUGUCUCAAACAAUAAUUGCAUGAAGCUGCUCCUUUAGGUUAGUUUCAGUAUUGCUAGGUAAGCUACCUUGUGGUCGUUCUAAGAUUAGUUUAGCAAGCUGACUUAUUUGGUUGUUGGAAGCCUGGAGGGGGUUAUGCUCUUUGAAUUCCUUGACCACCCUAAGUGAAAUUGGGAUAGUUCCUCCAACCUGCAUUAUAUUUGUUACUAUAAGGGUUGUUUUGAGGCCUAAAAUUAUUACUCAUAUAAUUGAUUUGCUCAUUCUCUAUGCUAGGACCGAAGGGUAAACAUUUUGGAUUAUUUAUUCCACCUCCAUUUGUAUUGCAUUGCAUCACUAGAUGUACAUGUGUAGAAAGAUAUAAACAAUUAAUUUUCUUAUUUAAUACUUCGACCUGGUUCGAUAACAUGGUGACUACAUCUAAAUUAAAAACACCGACUGCAUUCAGCGGCUUUGUCCUCAUGACUUGCCACUGAUAAUUAUUCAGUGGCAUCUCCUCUAUAAACUCAUAAGCCGCUUCGGGUGUUUUAUUGUUCAAAGUUCCACCGAGUACUACAUCAAUCAACUGCCUCAUUAAGGGGUUCAAACCAUUGUAGAAGGUUUGAACUUUUAACCAUAAAGGUAAGCCAUGGUGAGAGCACCGUCUCAAUAGAUCCUUGUAUCUCUCCCAUGCAUCAUAUAUUGUCUAUAAGUCGAUCUGAACAAAGGAAGAUAUGUUAUUCCUCAACUUAGUUGUCUUAGCCGAUGGGAAGUAUUUUAGUAGAAAUUUCUCGGUCAUUUGAGCCCAUGUAGUAAUGAAACCUCGUGGUAAAGAGUUCAACCACUAUUUUGAUUUGUUCCUUAACGAGAAUAGGAACAACCGUAAAUGAAUGGCGUCAUCAGUGGAACCAUUAAUCUUGAAAGUGUCGCAGAUUUCCAAAAAAUUAGCCAAAGGAGUAUUUGGAUCUUUUUCUUUCAAACCAUUGAACUAAAUAUACUGUUGUACCAUCUGAAUUGUAUUCAGUUCAGUUCGAAAUUAUUUGCAGCAAUGGUAGGUCACACAAUACUCGAUUCAACACCAGUCAGAGUGGGCUUGCCAUAAUCGUACAUAGUACGAGAAAUAGGAGUGGAACGACGAAAAUGUGCAAGUGUACACAACGCAACAAGUCAUAAAGUGACAAGUAAAUGUUGAACUAUCAUACCCACAGGGACUGUAAAAGAAUUAUUUAUGAAAGUAAGUUUAAACACUUUGGUGAAAGAAAAAUAUUUGGAUUUGGGAAAUGAUUAAAAACUAGAAACAAAGUAAAUAAAAUAAAAUAAAAAGUUCUAAUGCACGAUUUCAAAAGCUGAUUUUAAUCAAGAUGAUAUAAUUGUGCUAGAUUAAUUACAUUUCCUUACCUUAGAAUCAUUAAACUUAUGCUUAUACUUAUUACUAAUAAAUCACGACAACUCGGUAAUUCACUAACUUAUGAACAUAUUUACAAAUAAAAAAUCCAUUCAUCUCUUGUACAUAUUCCUAUGUCAAUUCGAUCGAUAAAACAAAUUUAUAAAGAUAAACAUGUUAUUGCACAUACAUACUUAUUAAAUUAAACAAUCUCUUGCAUAUUCCUAUGUCGAUUCAAAUGAUUAAUUCAACCAAAUAAGCAUAUAAAAGACUAUGUGAGGUAACAAAGUAUCCUUACCUUGAAACAGUUAAAUCACAAUAAUCUUGCAAGUUAUGCAAGGCAUAAGUAUCGCCAAAUACAAUGCUAAUCUAAUCUUCAGCUACCUAAGAAGAAUUAAACAUGCACUGAUUAAGUACUGUGUCCAUUAAUUACAAUUUCAAUGCAUUUAAAUAAUUAAAUCUUUAGUUAUCUUACAAUUGUAAUGCAAAAAUAACUUAAUCAUGGUUUUACUUAGUCAAACAUUUUACCGAGGCCUAUAACAGUAUAAACAUAAAUUUAACAAAUUAAGAGGACAGAAUGCAAUCAACCCAACAUGAAUUAAAUUCAAGCUAAGAUGAUUAAACUAAUCAUUCCAAUAGCAUAAAUAUUCAUAGAUGUGUUCAUCAUAAAAACAACAAAAAUUAAAGAGAUAAUGAGCAGGAAUCAAAUCUGGUGGUUUUCCGUGGCUUGACUAGGUUGCUCCGUUCUUCCUUCUUUGCUGUCCUCGCCGGUCAAGGCUGCUAUGAACACUCAAUUGCUACUCCAAAAUGGCUGAAGAAGACCCCUUUCCCAAGAGGAGAAAUCGGCACAAGAGCAAGGAACUUUGAAUGGGAAAAUGAGAGAUAAAAGUGAGAGAGGAGAGAAGAGUUGUGAGAAAAGAGAUGUGAAUAAGGGAUGAUUUGAAUGGGAAGAAAAAAUAGAAAAUUUUAGCAGCCAAAGAUCCCCCUCAUGGCCGGCCAUCCUACAUGGCAAAGUUGAGAAUUUCAACUUUGCUAAAAUUAGCCUGGGGCAAAUCCGUAAAGCCUUAAUUUAAGGUGAGGUUUGAAUGCAAUUUGGAAGUCUUCCAAUGGCCUUUUUGCAGCUCAUUUAAUUAGCUAAAAAUGCUUAUUUGGGUCAGCAUUUGAACGGUUCUGGGCUGCCCAAUUGGUGGCUGGUUCGGUUUGCUCAAUUUGGUUCAACUAGUGCGGUUCAACUAGGCUCUUUUUUUCCAUAAUUAAUUAAAAUUAAUUUAUUUAGCCCAAAUUAAAUUGGGAAUAAAUUAAAAUUAAUUAUAUUAUGAAUUAAUACACAUAUUUGGACUGUCUUAGGCUGGAAAUUAUUUUGCCUUGUUACUUCGAAUUGCUUCUCGAUUUUGUUCUUCUAACGGUGUCUACCAGGUCAAUUUUCACCUUUUGUACGAAUCUGUCAAAAAUAAUCAAAAUUCACUAAAAAUAAUUAUAAAAUUGACUAAAAAUUAACAUGUUCAAAUUUUUAAUACAAUUUAAUUAUUUUAUAAAAAUUAAUUAUUUUAUGACAAAAAUUCUAUCGAAAAUGCAUGAUUUUAAGUAAAAUUAGGUAUGAAAAAGUAUAUAAAUCUUUGUGUUUCCAAGGAGCAGGAGCUGCAGCAACUACAUGAGGUAGUUGAAUAUUCUAAUUAUCACCUAUCUCCUCAGUAAUAAUAAUAUCCUCUUAUUCGCCUACUAAAUUCUGUCAACUAUGCCUUGUUUUUCUACGAUUUUUCUGAGCUGUACUUUCAAUUUCGUUGUCGAAAAGCAAAGGUCCCGACAGGUUUCUUCUAGUCAUAAACCAAGAGAACCUGCCAAAAGUAAAUAAAAUAAAAAAAUUAGAAUGUAAAAAUUAAACUAAAACAAGAAUAUCAAAUAAAAAAUAAUAAUGUUUAAUUAAUAAAAUUAAAUUGUUCCUAAUAUUUUAGUCCCCGGCAAUGGUGCCAAAAACUUGAUGUGUCUUCAUGUUACUAACUAAAUAUACGACUAGGGCAAGUGCACCUAUCGAUAAUAGUAUAGAUACGAUGAGGUGAGAUAUCGUAUCCACGAGGACUAAAAGUAUUAGUAAUUAACAUUUUCUUAUUACUUAGCCGACAAAUUGGAGUGAUGUGUUUAAAACUAAAUUUACAAAACUAAAUUAACUAAUAACUCAACAAAGAAUGAAUAAGGAAAAUAAUCGAAUGAUAACUAAUGAGAGAGACAAUACCUAGGAAAGAAUUCACCUAGACUUUUCCUAUUAUUAUGAAUCUGAAUUAAACGAUUUAUUCACUUGGUGUCUUGAUCUGUAGAAAUCCCUAAAUUAUGCUAAUAUCUCUUCGAAAGUAAGAGCAAUUGACUCUAGGUUGAUUAAUUGAAAUCUCUUUCUAAUUAAAACCCCUAUAGUCGAAUUAACUCAAUUUAUGAAAUCCAUUAUUAGAUUUGACUCUAAUCCAGUAGAUUUAUGUCAUCUUAUUUUAGGAUUGCAUGCAACUCCACUCAAUUAUGCUAGAUCUACUCUUAAACAAAGACUUUUUCUCCACUGAAUUAUUCAUAUUAAACAUGAAUUAAUAUCCAAAAAAUAUUAAAACAAGAAAUAAACACACAUAAUUCAGAACAAGAAUCAAGUAUUUAUCACGUAAAACAGAAAUUAAAUAAUAGAAUUCAUCAUAGGUUUUAUCUUCCCUAGGUAUCUAGCGAAUUAGUUCAUAAUCCUGAAUGAAAAUAUAUCAAAGUCAGAAAAACUAGAAGAAACAAAGAAACUCAUAAAAACUUCAAAAGAAAUUAAAAUGGCGUCUUCGAUCUUAACAAAAAUCUACUUUGAGUUGGCUCCAAUUGUGUUCUUCGAGUUGUUUCUUCGAUCUUCUCUGAUGGCUCCCAUAUCUCUUAUUCGAUUUGGUAUUUAUAGAAUUUAGAAUGCUCAAAAGCCUAAAAAAUGUGUUUUUCAGCGUGUUUGGGAAGCAUGUUGCAAAAUCAACAUGGGCUGGCACAUGGGCGUGUGUCCAGCCCGUGUGGCUCCUGAAAUUUUCUCUUUCUCUUGACUUUCGCUCCUUUUUCUCCCAAAUGCUCACCUAAGUAUAAGGGCAUGAAUUAAAAUGAUUAGAAGCAUCAAAUUCACCAGUUUUCAUAAAUAAUCAUCCAAAAAUGCAUUAAGAAUAAGAUUAAAACAUGUUAGUUUUAUCAUUUAUCAAUUUACUAAAGCUGGCAUUGCCUUCAACACCCCAUUGAUUAAAGUUGUUAUGCAUAAGCAAUUCUUCUAAAUAAGGCAGACCUGAUAUGAUUUUCCUGGAAUGACUUUAAGCUUAGAAUAAUUACUCAAAUCUAAGGACUUAAACCUUGUUAGUCUCCCUAUUUCCUAAGGGAUCUCUGAAUAUCAGAACUGAAAAUUUUAAGUGUAUCCAAUUGCUUCAGGUUCCCAACAAUUGUGAUGUCAUUCAACUUACAUUCAUUGAAACGCAACCUUUGAAGGUUUCUUAAAGAAGUAAAUGAUGAAGGUAGGGAAGCAAAAUCUAUACCAGUGAAAUCUAAUAUCAAGAGUUCAUUCAUCUGCUCAAAGAAAUUUUCUGGGACUUCUAACGAUGGAUUUUUGUUUAACAAAACCAGCAACUUUAACCUAAGGCAUUCAAGAUUGUCUGAUAUCUUGUUAAUGCUAGUGUAUGGCAACAAAAUGGUAGUGCAAUUAUUGAGUUUUCUUUUCUUUAGCAGCUCUUUAAUAUGGAUUUCAUCCUCUAUAACAAACAUCUGCUUUUCUUCAGAUGCAAUCCAAAUGGCAACAUCACGAACAAUGUCAUUCAUUUUCACCAUUUCAUUGUUGUCACUGCUGAGUAAUAAACCUGCAUCUUUGAGCUUAUUCAAACAUUAUUUGGCUUCUUCCAUUGUGCUAGCAUUACUUGCUAUUCUUAAACCCAAGUUGUAUCUUAGCAAAUCAAAUACAUGAAUGUCAAAACCGUGGGGUAGCAAGGCACAGAUUUGGAAAAAUAACUACAAUUGAGGUUUCUUUAACAUGCUGUAACUUUUCUCUAUAGUGAAGUAAACACUUUGAACGCUUCUUCAUUUUUUGUAAUUGGCUUUGGUUCUUUUUUUCAAAGCCUCCACCAAGUUGAAGUUUUGUGUUCUCAAUGCAAUUGCAAUUGCUAAAAUAGCAACUGGAAAACCUGCACAAUUUUUCACAACUUUAGUCAGUAGUUGUCAGUAACCAAGCUUGUUUGCUGCAUUGCCCAUAACUUUCUGAAUCCACUCUAUUGUUUCUUCAUUAGUUAACAUUUGGACAUUGAAUAUUUCUUCAGUUUUCAUGUCAAUGAGUAACUGUGGAUGUGUGGAAGUUAGCAAUAUUUUGAAUCUAACAGCAGAGAAUUUUUGAAAACCAUUUUCACUAAUAUUUUGCAGUAAUGGUCGUCCUAGAUCUUCUUCAUUUGCAAUAUUUUGGUCACCUUCAAUAGCAAUCCCAACUUGUUCCAAUUCCAGUCUUUGACCAUCCUAAAUAUCAUCUAAAAUUAAAAGAACUCUCUUAUCUUGUUUCUUCAACCAUUUCUCUAGUCCCAUUUCUCUUGCAAACACAAUCUCCUUAUCAAGUUUCAGACCUAGUGCAUCUGUAAUUUCUCCCUAAAUUCUUUUUAAGUUUGGAUUCCACAACACAGUUACCAUCACAACCUCAUCAAGCAUGGUUUCUUCAUUGACUCUCCUAGCAGCUUCUUUUACUGGCAUUGUCUUGCCUACACCAGGCAUCCCAUUUACUCCAAUGAUCUUCAAAUCAGGAUCCUUUAAAGCUUCCACAAUAUCUUCCCUGAUAGUCGAGUAGUUGAUAAGAUGAUUACCACACUUCUUGAGAGAUAUGAAUCAAGGAUAUCCUCAUUGGAAGAUUCAAAGGAUCUAUCAACCAUCUCACUCUUUGAACUAAUCAAUGCUCUGUAUGCUCAAGAAAAAAGAAGGGCAAAUAAAGAAUAAAAGUACGUUGAUGGAGUCUUUCAAGCCAAAAAUAGAAAAGGCUCGAGCUCCUCAAAAAAUGAAGAAAAGAAGGACUGGACAAAGAAGAAACAGGAUAAUUGGAGAGAUGGUGGCAAGGAGAAAAAUCCAUUACGUUCUCAAUACAAAAAGACCAAUCACUUAAAGAGGUAUUGUUGGUUCAGGCCAGAUAUUUAAUGUAGAAGCUGUAAACAAUUUGGUCAUAUGGAGAGAGUGUGCAAGAAUAAUAGGCAUGCACAACAACAAAAUGCUCAGGCACAGACGAAAGAAUCAAAUCAAUAAGAACUGGUGUUCACUGCCUCCUGCGAAGCCAAACUCGCUACCCCAUGAGAAGUCCUAUUUGCGACACCGUGUGAACCCUCCAACAAAGUAAGAAAAAACUGGUUGGUUGACUGUGGUUGUACAAACCACAUGACUUCAGAUGAAAGCAUUUUCAAACGGAUUGAUAGAAGUUGCAUUUCAAAAGUUAGAGUUGGAAAUGGCGAGUACAUCGAAGCUGUAGGAAAAGAAGAUAUGCUAAUCAGCACUUCUACAGGUACUAAAGUAAUUACAAAUGUGCUUUUAAUUCUUGAGAUAAAUCAUAAUCUCCUUAGCAUUGGUCAAUUGAUUGAGAAAAAAUAUAUUGUAACACCCCUAACCCGUAUCCAUCGUCAGAUUAAGGUUAUGAGGCAUUACCUAACACAACACAGUCUAACAGAGUCAUUUAUCACAAUUCAUAUCUACUAAUCAUAUCUCAUAUACAAACCAUACUUCUUUUCUGUGCAAACCAAUUUCACAAUACAAUUCACACACUGAAAUUUAACUAAGUCAUAAUCAUUCUACUACUCACAUUUCGAACCAAUUAACAUACAUCGAUUCAUAUUACAUUAUAGCAAAACACAUCUAUCAACUAAAUCAUACAUAUAUACUUUGAAACAUACUUCCCAAAAGAGCUUAUAACAUGACCGAAUAUACAUAAUAAUUAGUAUAUCUAACAAGCCAUUUCGCAUGGCAACUUAUAUACAAUUCAAAAUUAGCCAUAGUCUAUACAUGCCAUUUGUCACAAUAUCAAGCUUUCAAAAUACCGAAAUGGCAAUUGAUAGUGUGAAGAUAAUCCUUGAUGAUCCCCGAGCUCGAGCUAGCUUUAUGUAUCUAUAAAGAAAUGGAAGGAUGCACAAAGUAACCUUUGGAAGCUUAGUAAGCCAUAAGCAAAUAAAUCAUCUCAAUGAUAUUUAGAAUUCAAUUCAACUAGGUCUAAUUCAAAUGAAUCUCAAACACAUAUACAUUUAACUAACUCAUAUAAAUUCAUAUUAUCACAUUAAGUACUAAACUUACCUUAAUAUUUCAUGAACAUAUAACUUCACACAUACCUGAACCAUUUAGCUCAUAUUUACAUUCGGAAUUGUUAAGAACACACGGAAUUCAUAUAAAGCUCAUACAAUGCCAUAUCCCGGAUAUGGUCUUACAUGUUAACGCAUAUCGAUGCUACUGUCCCAAACAAUGUCUUAUAUGAAUCAUAUACGAUGCUAAUGUCCCAAACAUGGUCUUACACGUUUUCUCACUUUGAUGCCAAUGUCCCAGACAUGGUCUUACACGAAAUCACACCUCAGAAGUCCUAAUAUCAUGACAUCAAUAUCCAAUACAUUUCCUAAGGUUCAUUCAAAGCUUUCGAAUUCGUAAUUAAAUCAAUUCAUGCACGAAACCAAUCAUCCAAUGCUCAAAUCAAUUCAUCAAUAUAUAUGUAUACAUAUACAAAUCAAUUCGGUAAUGUAUAUCCAAAUACGAAUCAAUUCGGCAAUGUAUAUCCAUAUACAAAUAAAUUCGGCAAUGUAUAUCUAUAUACAAAUCAAUUAGGUAAUGUGUAUCCAAAUACAAAUCAAUUCAGCAAUGUAUAUCUAUAUACAAAUAAAUUCGACAAUGUAUAUCCAAAUACGAAUAAAUUCAGCAAUGUAUAUCCAAAUACGAAUCAAUUCGGUAAUGUAUAUUUAAAUACAAAUCAAUUCGGCAAUGUAUAUCUAUAUACAAAUCAAUUUGACAAUGUAUAUCCAAAUAUGAAUCAAUUCGGCAAUGUAUAAAACAUAUACAUUUGAAUUAAAAAAAUAUUUAUUUACUUAUGAACUUACCUCAUACGGAAAUAAACGGAUUGGAUCAACUACUAAAUCUGAUUUCUUUCUUUUUCGAUCUAAUUGAAUUCAAAUUUAACUCAUUUAAUCACAUAUUCAUUCAAUUUCAUCCAAAAUACCUAUUUGGACAUUUUUACACUUUAGCCCCUAAAGUUUCACAUUUAUUCAAUUUAGUCCCAUUUUCACAAAUACACAAAAUUUGCACAAUUCAAUAUAACCCAAGCUUAUUAGAAUUAUUAUAGUGCCCCUAGCAGCCCAAAAAUUUCAUUUAUUUCACAUUUCAACCACCCAAUUUACAUAUUUCACAAUUUAAUCCAUAUUUAACAUUUUUGUCAAAAAUCACUUUACAAAACAUAUUAAUCUAUCAAAAAUUAUUCAUUUUCCAUCAUCAAGAUUCAAAAACAUCAAGUUAUCAUUAAUGGUAACUCACAAAUUCAUCAACCAAUUCAAAAAUUAGGGCAUGGACUAGCUAGAACACGAAGCAACGAUCUCAAAACGUAAAAACUAUCAAAAAUGGGACAAAAACGCAUGCCUAAUUGAGAUUACAAGCUUGUCCGAAUGUUUUGCAAAAAAAUGGCUUCUUUCCCUUCUAAAAAUCGGUGGAAGAUGGUAAUGGAAGAUGAUGAUAAUUUUGUUUUGUUUAUUUUUAACAUUAAUUACUAUUUUACUUAAUUAACCUUUAUAAACUUUAAUGAUUACACAAAAUGCCACUCCACUAUCAUCCACUAACUUACAAAUGGCCUAUUUACCACUUAAGGACCUUUACUUUAAUAUUCUAUAGCUAUUAGACACCUUUAGCUUGUAGAAUAUAACUUUUACGCUCUACGCGAUUUAGUCCUUUUUACCGAUUAAGCAUUCAAACAGUAAAAUUUCUUUAUGAAACUUUCACACAUAUAUAAUCACAUGUUGUAAAUACCAAAAAUAAUAUUAAAAUAAUUUUCUAACCUCAGGUUUGUGGUUCUGAAAUCAUUAUUCCGAUUUAACUAAAAUCGGGCGGUUACAUAUAUUAUUGUUUUCAAAGAUAAAUAUUGCAUUAUAUUUGAUUCAUUAGGAUAGGAAGUUGUGAUUGUCUCAAUGAACAAUAGAAGAUUUCUACUAGAUUGGAAUUUUAUGGCCUUGAGAGCCUAUACCAGUUCAAUAGAUAAAUCAUAUAGUUGGCACAAAAGACAGGGACAUGUGAACAAGAAGUUCCUUAGUCAAGUCAAGUGUGCAAACCAAAAACAAUUGUGAAGAUAACUAAUGUUGACGAUAAAGAUUUAGGUAAAGGCUUUGAUAAUCUUCCUGUUAAAGAUACCAGGUUUGUUGUUGAAACUUAUCACAGAUGUGACUUAGCAGUAUGGGAGUCUACAAUUUUGAAGAAGUUGCACAAGAAAACAACAUUGGUGCUUGUUGCAAAAUGGUCAAGAAAGAGUGUUCAAAGUUGGCCAAUCAAGCAGUAGAAAGCAGCAGGAUAAACUGUGAGCCUACGAGCUCACCAAAAUGCAAGUUGCGAAGUUAGCAAAAAUGUGUGUUGAUAGAUGUCAAGCUAUGAAAGUGCAAGCUACAAGCUAAAUGAAAUAUGUGAUACAAAAGUGCGAGGUCAUAAAAAUGAGAGCUCAUCGAAGCACAAGCUUGAGAGCAGGCAAAGAUGCAAACUUGUUGAUACUCUAACAAAAUCCCUUGGGAAGAUGAAGUUUGAAAAACUAGGUUAUGAUAUUGGGGUUCGCAACAUGGAGGCCAAGGAGGAGUGUUGCGAAGUUGCCAUCCAUGCAUUGGCAAACCUAGCUCCUACAUGAUUGCGAGCUCACCAUAUCUGCGAGCUCACCAAAAGAUGCAAGCCCACCAAGAGUGCGAGCUUACCUACGAACUAUGAAUUGCGAGCUCACCAAGAACUACAAGCUCACAAAAAUGUGCGAGCUUGCCAAGAUCAUGAGCUCACCAAGCAUGCGAGCUCACCUGCGAGCUCUUCACUCUGCAAGUUGCCAACUUGCACUCAAACUGUGACAAAUUUUAAUUAAACAUUUUGGCAAGCGAUUAGCUAGAAACCAACAAAUGAAAAACAAAGUUAUAUGAAUUUAGUCACUGAAUUAAGCCAAGUUGUAAUAUUUUAUUAUUAUUUUUAGCUUAUUUAAGCAUAGUUUUUCAUGUAAACUAAGCAUCAAUUUUUUAAUGAAACAGAUCACCAAAAAUUAACUUCUCCAUUUUUCAUCUUUUGCUUCUGUUUCAGCCUCUCAUUCUUCAAAAAUCCAACACACCUCUUCUUUGCUUGCGCUUCAAGGUUAUUCAUUGUCUCUGACUAUUCCUUGAUUUUCUCUUUUGCGCGAUUCACCUAAAUCUGGCCAUCUUGGUCAAACUCUUGUGCCUUUUCCUUGGCAACAUCAAUGUAAUAUGCUGCACUCUGUCUCUUUGAUAUCUCGAUUCCUUAAUUUGUUCCUUCAGAUUCUGAACUUUACCAUCAGGCUUCAACAUGUAACGUUUAAACCCAGAAACAAACUCUAUUUUUGGGGGGUUUUUCAAUUUAUAGUAAUUGGUAAAGCAAACAAAGCAAACCAAAAACAAAAUAGCAGUGAAUGAAUGACCAAACUAUGGAGCAAAUGGAGUUUCAAUCUUUGUAUUGAAGGGAAAAAAGAUGCAAUGAAUGGCAAAGACAACAAGGCAAAGAAAGCAUCAAAAGGUAAAAUAAAGAACAUGAAGAUAAAACUAAGAAUGUAGAAUCAAUGCUUUGAUCAUUUGCAGAAGUUAAGGUUUUGAUCAUUAGAAGCUCAAACUCUUAGUUUUUAUGACUGGUUGUUUUGAGUCUUGCCGGUCUCUAAUCGAGUUAGCCUAAUUGAGUAAAAAAAAUUGGAGAUAAUAGAGUUAGUCGAAUUGAGUAAUAAAUUUUUGAAUUUUGUUGGUUUUGAUAAUUUUUUUUAUAUAAUUUUUUAGCUUUUUUAAAAAUAUUUCUAAUUUUUUUUAAAUAUUAAUUUUGAAAUUUUAAAAAUUAUUUUUAAUUUUUCUGAGAGAGUGACCAGUUUAUACAUUUUCAAUACUGAUAGAGACCAAAUGAGUAUUUAUAUCAAUUUGUUGUUCAAUUGUAAAAUUUUAAUUUGACUUGAAAUCAAAGCUCGAAUUAUUUAUUUGAGUUAACUUGAAUAUUUUGAAUAACUUGAUUCGAUUAAAAUCUAAAUUAUUUUUAUUUUUUUUGAAUCGAAUCAGAUUUUGCUCGAUGUUAGAAUCUUUACAAACUACAAUGAUAUCUUUACUCUGGCAACUUUUCAUUUUUCAAUACAUGUUGCAAUUAGUGUUUUGUUUGAUAAAUUUAUUUGAAAGUGGAGCUUCCAUAUUUAAGUUAUAAUUGUUGAUUAAAUUAUUUAUUCAUUUCUUAACAAAUUUAUGAAUGUUUCUUCUUUUCAUAUUUUUGAAAAAGAAAAAGAAAGAAUUCUUCAAAGAAAAGAAAAAAAGUUAAAAUGAAGCAAAACGGUUUUGGAAGGCAAAGAAUAAAGUGCAGAGAAGCUUUAAAUGUUUAAUGUUAUUUAAACUCCUUUUUCUUCAAUUUUCCAUAAGAAUUUUCUGUUUUUUUUUUUAAAGUUAAAAUUUUAAAGAUUGGAAAAUUCAUAAAGGAAGGAAUUUCUGGGUUCUAAAUAUUCUUAAGAGUUGAAAUUACCACAAUAAAAGUUGUUAGGAAAAUCAUGAAACUUUGAUUUUCAUCGAUUGUUAAAAAAAUACUUGUAAUUCAGUUCAACACUAACAAUUAAAGUUACAAAUUAAAAUGCAAUCGCUCAUGUACAGGACACUGAUAGGCUAGAUUAUCGGAUGCAUUUCCGGACUUAGGUAUGAAAAUAUGACUUUCAAAGACGAAAAAGAAUAUAAAAGAAAUGGAACAUAUCAUUGUUACUGACAUUCAAACUCAAAGUUGGAGUAACAUGGCUAGGAAGUGAAAUACCAACUUUAGAUCAAUGAAUAUGGCUGCAACUGAGCAGCAGCUAGUAGACAGCAUUUGAACUCGCAAUGAAAGGGGCAUCUCCCAUAACUCUUUAUAAAGCGACUGUGCCAAAAUGAUAAGUGAAAUAAUCAAUUUCUGCCAUUAAACUACAUUUUAUGCUUAAGCUCAAAACUAAAAGCAUGAUAUUUUUAACACUCAUGCAACACAAAAUCAUUUCUGUGAUUCUUUGAAACUCAUACUUUUCUAAAGCAAAUAUCUCCACUUUUCCUUCAAUAUUGGCCUUUCUGUAGUUUGUAUCCUUGAGCUGAAACUCUUCCAUAUGAAUAGCAAUGGAUUGAGUGAUUGUCGCUGCAUGUAAAUUGUUGGCAUGUUUAUUAUUUGCAUCCGCUGUAAUUUCAUCAUUCAUCCCCUAAUAUUAAAAUGGAAAAAGGUAUUCCAAAGUUAUGUUUUUCCCCCUUCAAUCAAACACAUAUGUAAGAUAUAGACUCACAAAGUUAGUUGACUGGUUGUGCCAUAUCUUUCUCCAGUUUCCCACACCCGUGAUGCUCUGUUCCUCUAAGCAAGGUUAGUUUGCUAGAGAAAAACAAGUAGUACAACAAGAAUAGGGAAUCAAAUAUUUAACAAAAAUGAACAAUAAAAAAGACAUGAAAGAAAGCAAUGAUACAAGAAAACAAAAAUGGGACAUUACCUUUCAAUGGAAAGAGUUGGAAAGCGAAUCUCUGAGUUGUUUCUUUCUAUCCUAAGAAAAUAAUGCCAGUGCCACUAGUGAUCAUAAGAUUGGCAUUUGUCCUCUUAAAUCAUUUUCUCAACCCUUCACAAUGUUCGUUCUCAAUUAAGUACAAGUAUGACUCACUAAUUCAAUUGUGACAAAAGGAGUAUUUGAGGGAACCACUUAUCAGUUUACACGUAAGAAUAUCAUACAUAUUUACUAGUUACAAGUGUUUAACUAGGGGAAGAAGUAAACUAACACUACAUAUCUAAUUAUAUUCACAACAUCAGCAAAACCAAUUAAGCUUAUUUUUACUCAAAAAGACUUGGAAUCUCAUCUCAAAACUGUUAACAAGCGGCUUCCGAUGUCAAAGUGGAGAAUGCUGAGGUAUAAUUCUCUGAGCAGAGCCUUGAAAGACUACCAAGUUCUAAAGACUUGAGUUGGGAGAAAACGAUGCCAUCCAUGACUUCAUCAGUGUAGAAAAGCUAUGGUUUCUUCUAACUUUUGGCAAUCAGUAACACUCAUUCUUGUGAGUUACACCAUGCUUUUAGCUAUUGUGAAAGCUACUAAAUUUCUGAAUCCAUGGCAUUUUGAUGCCUCUACAGUUGUCAAAUGCUUGAAUGACAAAAAAGAUGGCACUAAAUUCUUUAAUUUUCCGCAUCCCAACACUUGUAGAAAACUUCUGCAAGUGAUAGUUUGCUCUUCUAGAUAUGUGUCAACUCAGGAAGAUAAUACAACCUUAACUCCUUCAAGCAAGCAAGUGUUCCUGCACGUUCGUUUUCAUCUCUUACUCCUUCACAUGGAAAUAAUUCAUUGAAGGUAGCCCUUUGCCAAAAGAAAGGUAUUCAAGAUUUGGUAAUGACUAAAUGAAACAAUCUGAGAUAGUAAUUCAUGUUUCGGGACAAUCAAACUUUCUUAGUUUGGGACAAUAUUGUUUCGGGUCUGCUCCAUGUCCAUGCCAUACCUUCAUAUUGCCAUUCCGAGCCAAAACCAAUUCUUCUAAAUUGGGGAAUGUUUCCUGAGAAAUUAAGAACCAUAUAUAUGUUAAAUAAAAGCAAAUCUUCCAAAGUGAUUGAUAAAAUAUGCAAAUCUGUUUAGAUUGACCUUUUAUUUAGUUUCUUUUAUGAGAUCUUACCUUAGUGACCCAAAAUAGGGGUUGUUGAACAGGGAUAACGGAGUGGUUCUCUUCUUGUGUUUCUCUAAAGUUGAUAUACUCCCCAGCGAAUGUCUCCACCUUGCUGCAUUCACACACCUCCAAUUGUUUUAACAAUGGCCAAUCUGUAGUAUGCACCUUGGAGUACAAACCCUUCAAUUUGGGUAGCUUAUGAAGUAUCAGCUGUCUUAUUUUAGGAAACAGAAACUUGGUAGUUGAUUUGAGCUCAAUUGAUUCAUUUGAGUUGAGUCCACGAUCGUCAGCGAGUCCAAUUAUUUCUUCUACCGACUCACAUUCCGAUAUUUCCAGAGCUUCUAGUUUUUCAAGUCUUUCCACCAUAUCAAAUGGUAAAACAUUUGAAAGUUUGUCACACUGUUUCACCGCAAGAAUGGUUAAUUCAUGAAAUGAAUCCUUAGUGAGUUUAUCAUGCCAUAUCUUUCUACACUUUCCCAUGCCUGCAAUUAUCAAACGGCACAAGCUAGGAAACGCAACCUGCGAGAAUUAUUUAAGUUGUUAAUGAGGAAAACAAGUUAGAAUUCUACAUGGAUAUGAAAAGUAAAAUUACUACAAAAAAAUAAAAGAAGAAUAUCACCUUUUGGUUGAAGAGAGUAUUGGUCUCUGAGUUUUCUUGAUGGCAGAAUGUCCUUAGUUUUGGAAGCCCAUCGAGAAUCAGGAAAUAUAGCUUUGUGAACAAGUAAAUCUGAGGUAUCCCAUCUUCUGCUGUGGCUGCUAAUCCAUCUGUAAAGAUUAUUUCUUCCAUGUUCUCGCAAUUGUGAAGGCUAAGUAGAAGGAGCCGCUCAAAAUUUUUGACUAAAAAGGAUGGGAAUAGAUAUUCCAAAUUGUGGCAACGCUUCACAAAUAAGAAUUGUAAGUUAAGCACAUUAGAGGAUAUAGCCCUGUCUGGUUUAUCAGGCCAUAAUUUUUUGAUCUUAGUUGAUGAUAGCUUCAAGUACUUCAAGUGGGCACACAAAACCUGCAGACAAAAUCCUCAUUGCAUGAAUUAUGCAUGCUUGUGAUGAUAAAUACAUACACUCAUUGAUUAAUGCUAAAGCAUUUGUUAUCAAAACAAAACAAUUUGAAUUAUCAUUAAAAACAAUUAUUUAAUUAAUGGUCAGACUUCUUUUUUCUAUUUUUUUCUCAAGAUUACGGAAUUAAUUUUAUUACAUUUGAAUUAUCAUUAAAAACUAUUAUUUAUUACAUUUUGGCAUUGUCAUAACAUACUCUUACACUAUUAGUUAUAACAUUGAAUUUGAACAAUCUUUAACAUACGACAUUUUUAGUUUCUAUCCGUAGAAAAUUUGUACCCUACUUUCUUAUUCUAUUAUUUAAUUUAAGUUUUCACCCAAAUAAAUUAAAAAGUUAAAACACUAAACAAAAGAGAAGAGACUAACCUUAUGAUUGAAAAAGGGUGUCUUUUCUCUGCCAAGUAUCUCUAUAUCCUCUUGCUCCCUUGUAGAUGCCAUUGCAUACAUCUUUGGGCAAUCUUUGACUGCGAUUUUUAAUAAAGAUGGACAUUCCAGGGUACUACUUCCCAUAAAAAAACUUGUCAACCUUGAACAUGACUCAAGUCUUAUCUCCCGAAGCUCGGGUAACAAGAGUAUAUCCAUUUCAGUUUCCUCUGCUCCUUUGAUAAUCUGCUCCAUCAUAGGGCAUUGUUUCACUUUUAUGUCUUGUAGUUGCACAAGAUCUAAAGCCAUGGAUACGUUAAAUAUGUAUAUCAUGGUAUUACACUCAUAAACUUCUAAAACCUUAAGGUUCUUGAAAUCUAAACUUCCAUGAACGUUCUCCUUCCAUAUUUCAAUUGACCUGGAAAAAUCAGAGAGGACUAAAUACUCGAUAGCUUGGAACCCAGCCUACAAAAUCCAGCAAAGAAACAAGGAUUAAAAUUCAUAAAGGUUAGAACGAAGCCAACCCAAACCAUAUGAAAGAAAGAAUGACAUUAUGGAAUAUACAAUAGUACCUUUAUUGAAUAAAUUUCUUGGAUGGUGUUGUUAAGGUCACUACACCAAUGUCCAUUAUCUUUUCCACAUACUACUUUUUGCAAUAAUGGUGGAUUACUUAAAACUCCCUUACAAAAUAUCUCCAAUUCAGGGCAACCACUUACAAUUAAUUCCUGUAAACAUGGGAAUCUUAAUGUGUGGCUGCCAGAACAAAAGCUCUUAAGUCGCGGUAGAUUCACAAGUUCCAAACUUCUCAGCCUGCUGAAAAUAAUGUCACAAGUUGCUUCACCUCCCUCAGUUGCAACUAUUUCCUUCAUUGAAAUGCAGUCUCUAACCCUCAACUUCUUAAGUUGGGCCAUACCUUGGACUGCUAAACAUGUAUCCAAGUAUUUCAUUGCUUCGCAAUUCCACACAUCCAAUGUGGUGAGAUUUUGAAAUGAUGCUGAGGAUGAUCCUAAGCAGAUCAAAUUAUCACAAUCGUGAACUUCAAGAGUCUCAAGUUUGGGUAGAAUGUGGUCCACUUGUACAUCUUGCUUCCAUAAAUAAUUGUUUAGAGUAUUAAGAGAUACCAAUUUUAAGUUUCUAAUUGUUGACAAACGCCCAGCAUACAUCUCCUCAUUACCGGUAUCUCUUUCAGAACAGAAUAGCUCUUUUAUUUCACAAUAAGUGAUAAUAAGGCUUUCAAGAGUGUGGAAUCUCUCAAGGAAAGAAAUUCGGAAAUAAAUUGAUUUUGCAGCGUGGCCAUGCACUUCAAAAACUUUUAUUUCAUGGAAAGGGCUGCUUGAAAAUUGACCAUCACUUAUCAUUGCAAUGUAAUCACUAUCUAAUGUCAAAUGUUGUAGCUUAGGGAUGACCUGAAAACCAAUCAGAAAGCAAUUUUGGAGUCAAUAUGUUCAUCUUCAAACUAAGAAUAGCAUCGGUUACAUAAAUGAAACAUCAUAUAUUUUCAAAAACUUCUUAAUACUCUCUUCAUCAGUAAUUAAUUUUUCUAAGUAAUAUUUCAACCUUAAUUAUCAUAAAUUUUUGUGCUAAUCAAUAAAUAAUAAAAAAAACCCAAUAAUAAUAGUAAAUUAAUUUGAUGGUUUAGAGUUUAAUCUAAGAUUUUAGAUUUUAGAGUUCAUUGUUGGAUUUAUGGUUUAUGGUUUAGGUUCAUGAUUUAGAAUUUAAGAGAAUUUCCUUUGUUUGUUAAUUAGCGUAAAAAAAAGUUAGUUUUUACAGUUCAUACCUUUUCAACCAAGAAAAGUGGUGGAUGGAUUGGGGAGUCAAGUUGUCCAUUGUUAGUGUUCAGAUGUGUACCCAAUAUCUUCAUUUUCCCACACUCAACUACUUCCAACUUGCUUAACAGUGGCCACUUUGCAGUAUGCUUACCCGGGUAGAAACAUUUCAAUUCUGGUAGCCUCCAAAGUACAAGGUCGUAUAGUUGAUCAAACUCGAAAUUGACUGCUGUUUCUGAAUCUGAUCCUUCCUCUAAUUUGGAAACAAUCUCCUCCACCCCAGAAUGAGAUAUUGCAAGAUAACCAAGUUUUGGUAGGUCUUUGGCUAUUGAGGCUGGAAAUACAUUCUUCAAACUUUGACAGUCACAAACAGUUAUUGCACAGAUUUUUUUAAAUGAAAAAAUUCCUUUGGGAUCACUUUUCCAAAUAUAUUUCAACUUUGGUAAUUCAAUAAGAUGCAAUUCUCUUAGUUGAGCGGUUGCAGGCAAAGCGGUUUCGUUUUCUUCAUGCAUGAUUUCAAAUACUUGUUGUAAGGAACCACAAUUCCCUACGAAUAGACGGUGCAACCUUUGAAAUGUUAUCAGCAUAUUAGAUGGAAAAAUGGUUAACAACUCAUCACAUCCGUUAACAACCAAUACUUGUAGUUUGGGAAAUGAAUUUGGUGGAAGUGGGUUCCGCCAUAUCAUCUUCAUCUUUCUCAAGAAGGAAAUAAUCACUUUCUCCAAAUUGGGAAAUGCAACCUGCACUCAUGUCAAUAUAAUGAAAUUAGAAAAUAAAUAAAUUUCUAAAAAUUUAAGAGGAAAAAAAAUAAAAGAAAUGCUCGUUUUUUUAUUCUAAUGCAUACAAACAAAUUAUUCGAAAUUGAAAUAAUAAAUAAGUGAAAUGUUUGAUAGUCUUAAAAUAUGUAUUUUCAAAAAGUCAUUUUCAACUGUACCAAAAAAUGACAAAUGAAAUUUACCUUUAUCUUUCAAUUUUUUCAUCUAUCGUAUCGACCACAUUCUAGGAACCAAGAAUAAAUGUUUUCUAUCUUUUUACUUUAAUUUUUCAUCUCUUCAAUAUUCUUUCCAUUAUAACAUUAAAGCCAAAGCCAACAAGGAGAAAAUGAGUAAACCUACAAUUUAAGAAUUAACCCACCUUAUUGUCAAACAGAUCACCUUGACUAGAGAUUCGUUGGUUCCCUUCCCUUGUAUAUCUACAUAUGAAGCCCUCCAAGUUUGGACAGUUGUAUAUCGUCAUUGACUUCAUAAAUGGAAAUUCAAUAACUUUAUUUUGAGAAUUGAAGCAAAAUCCACGCAAAUGCUGAAGAUCCUUUAGCUCUAAGGACUUUAACUGAGGAAAUAAUGAUAAAGUCAUGGCAACCUGAGUUUCUUCUUCUAUAUCCUCCCAAAGGAUUAUCUCCUCUAAGCAGUUGCACUUAGUUACCUCAAAAUAUUUGAGAUGAACUAGAUAUUUAGCCAUAGAAAAUGAUAACAGGUAUUUUAUGUUUCCACAACCCUCGAUUUUCAAUGUGGUUAACUUCUCAUGAGUGUAAAAAGAUACAUUUGACAACUGGUUCUGCCAUACCCUUGUAACAUUAAGCGAUGAUAACUGCAAUUUCUCCAAGAAAGGGAACGAUAUCUACAACCAUACACAUAGUUAAUUCUACUUUCAAAUCAAUAUUGUAAAUAUAUAUAUAAUUCUAUUUUUGCAAUUACCAAAUAAUAAAGUCUGCCGAUCAAAAAAAAGUGUCAUAUAAUAGAAAAUUUCUAGUAAAUAUAAAAUAUGUUGAGAGUAUUGGGGACAGAAGAACCCAUCAUAUGAUCAGAAAAAGGGAAAAAAAAAAUACCACGUAACUAAGCAACAACACGAGCAAUACGGCAUGAUUCGGAAAAAGGAAAGAAAGCCUUGAAAGAUAUUGAAUUAUAGAUACCUUUUCUCCGAAAAGUGGCAAUUCACGUUGAGGCAAUGAGGUAGCAUCGAUUUUGUCUUGAGAGCAAAAGCUAACGAGUUGAGGAAGACCCUGCAAUGUCAAGGACUGCAAUCCCGGAAAUUCAUUUCUAUCAUUAGUGAUAGAUUCAAUAUCCAAACCAUUUUGGAUAUGCAGAUUCUGCAAAUGUGAUAACCUUUCCUCAUCUAUUAAAUCCUUCAGUGCAAUCUUUACACCUUUCAAUUCAUCCAAUUCUAAAUAUUGAGUUCUCUUUACCAACUUCUUAAUUCCAUGAUCCAAAUCAUCAAUGCUUUUGUUUAGCCUGAGUUUUAAGGUUCUUGAAUAUUGAGAGUUGCCAAACCGCUCCCAUUCCUUUCCUAUGAAAAUCUUGUAUCUUUCCAACUUUUGCAACUUUUGAAAGAAGUCCUCUGGGGCAGCCUUGGCGUCCGGAAUUUGAACUUCUAAAGUGGACAAAUG
rnacentral:lncRNA from 1 species